GAUCAUAGGUGUCUAUUACAGACAUCUUUUGGGAGAUAUUCAAGAUAGUUGAUUUAAAGUCCUUAAUAUGACACCCAAUAUGAAAUAUUAAGGCUAGGACCCAACAAACUAUUUUAUAACUUAGAAGAGGUAUGCCGUAAUCCAAGCUAUAAAAUAUUUGAAGGUAGGUGAAUGACGAUUCACCAAUUUCCACCAAGAUAAACGAAAUGUAUUAUUAGGUUUUAAUUGGUUUUGAAACUCCUAGAUCUUUGAGAUUCAUUGAACUGUUCAAAGGCAUGUUUCAAUCUCGAGUGUGCCCUUCAGGUUUUGUGACUGGGAUGCCGAGGAUCACAAAACAAGGUGUGAAGUAACCAUGCAAAUCACUUGGUACCCUUAAUAAAUUACCCCUCAAUCGAUGUGCCGGUUAACCACACACGCUCCAUCGAUACUAUGAUAAAUAUUAAGUCACCCUUUACCUACCUUGUUAAGUCCAAGUUAGUGUGCCGGUUAACCACACACGCUCCACUAACGACUUAGACAAAGUGUAAAGUGUAAUUUCAUGGAUUAGCACCUUAUUCACAUUUUUCCUAAGUAACUAAGAUUGGGUAUUAUUAAGAGUUUAGUUACUUAGUAUUAUCAUUAAUACUUUUAAUGAAGGGAGAAUUCUAGUCCUGUCAAACCCGUUCGGCUAACGACCCUCCACCAGUCAAGCAAGCGGUGGGUGAGAGUGGACACCCAUUAAGUUGCCAUUUUAUAGGCAACAACCUUAUACCCACCUUAUAGACCGGCUUCGUGAAUGAGGCGUACUAGCGGUAAGACUGACUUUACUCUUAUACAUAUAUAUAUUAUUAACUUAUAAUAUUAUAAAGUAUAAGGGUUGAAUUUUAACUUUUAAAAUUCUAAGGGCUAACUUGGAAUUAAAGUAUUCAUAAGUGAAAACUUUACAAAUUCCAAAACUUGAGGGCAAGUUUUGAAACUAUUCAAAACUAAUUAAUUCCAUAACUUAUGUGUUUAAAGUAGUUUUAAUCCAAAAACUCUUCAAGUUCCAUAACUUGAGGACAAGUUAUGGAAGACUUUAAACUAAUAAAAGAAUUAACUUUUCUUUAUUUUAUAACUUAUGGAAUUAAUUAAGGUUACACUUUUUUUUUUUUUAUUUUAUUUUAUUAAAUGAAGAGACUCUUGGUCCUCCAUAACUUGAGGACAAGUUAUGGAGUCAUAAAACCAUUUAAUUAGAACUAGACUCUUCAUUUUUGUAACCUUUGCCAAUUUUUAUGAGUUUUAUGAUUCUUAAAUGUGACUUUUCAUAUAACUUGAGGACAAGUUACAAAAACACAUUUUAGAAUCAAUUCUUAGAUUAAUUUGGAUUAAAACCAACUAUCACAUAAUUUUAUUCAUUAAUCUAAAUUCACUCAUAAAACAAGGUAACACAAAAAACUUUUGGUGAUCCAUAACUUAUUCUUAAGUUAUGGAAUCCUUUAAAACAUUAACACCAAAUUUUGUAACUCCAAAAAAACUUUGAAUCAAUUUUUUUUUUAAAACCUUUUCAUAUCCAUAACUUAUGGAGGUUUCAAAAAAUAAAACUCUUUAGAUCAAACUUUUAAAACUAAUAAAAUAAUCAUAUUAUUUUAUCUUUUAUUAAAUUUGACCUAAUUCAACUCAUAAAGCAAAUUAUUCAAAUUUUACAAAUAAUUAGUUUUUCACAAGAACAAGUAAUUAUCUUAAAAUUUGACAAACUUCAUGUUUUUUUUUUUUUUUUUUUUCAACUUUGAAAAUAAAAUAUUUGCAUCAAUAUAACAGAAAACAACCCGUGGCUCUGAUACCACUGUUGGGUUUUGAGCAUUCUAACACUUCCUAAGUGUACAUGCAACCCUAAAUACCUUGGAUCUAUGUUUUCUCUAUUAUACAUGCAAAUAAGAACAUCCAAGGUAUUAUCCUAAUCUAGCAUACAAAAACUAUGAAUGUAACAAGAUAGAAUACAUACCUCUUGAUGUAGCUUGAUGUCUUCAAGCUUUAAGAGCUUAGCCCCAAUAGUGUGGAAGCCUCAAGUGGAAUCACAAAUCACCAAGACACCUUGGAAUACUUUAGAGAAUAUGAUUACUUGGUUCUCUCUAGUGAAAUUGGCUAGCCCUUCUUUAGUGUAUCCACACUAGUGCCAAUUUCACCAACCAAAGACAUCUUUAUAUAGUAUGGAGGAUUAGGGUUAAACCCUAAUACCCAUGACCUUUCAUUUCCUAGGAUCCAUGGGUUAAACACUCCAUGGACUAUCCAUGAAAGCUUAGCCCAACCUAAAUGAACUUGGCCCAUUCCAUAUAUAUAAGAGUCCAUAUUUAAUUAGUUCCUUUUGAUCACUUAAUUAAUUAUAAAUUAAUUCUUGAUCAAUACUAAUUAAAUAAUAUGAUUCCAUAUUAAUAUAUUAGAACUUAUAAUAUAUUAAUAUUAAUCAUAAACAUACUAUUCUCAAAAGAUUAUCCAUAUAAAUUGUGUCGGUGAAGUGCAACCCAAAUGGACCAUGCCGGGGCGGAUCAAGUACAUACCAAAUAUAGUUAUGGACUUAGACAUUAAUCCAACAGAACAUUCGUGUGAAUCCAGUCUCAAAUCAAGGAGAGUUUUCAAAAGAGAAUUUAAAAUGGUUUUCAAAAUGAGUAAAGGAGGACGCGGAGGUAUGAUCAGCCGGAGCCAGUAAGUAGCCCCAAAAUACCAUACAUGAUAAUUGUUUUUGAGCUUUGAUUGAACAACAUGCUAGUACUAGGCUAGGGAUCUUCAGGAUUUCAUGAUAAUGUUGCCUGAUUUAUGAUGCCUGCUAGCCUAGGGUUCUUCUGUAGGAGAUUUCCGGUGUUCCCCUAGGAGUGAGGGUUGAGUGCUUGUUAUGUAUGUUUUUCACAAGGGUGUUGUGGUAAUACUUGAUACAAAUAUGGGUAGGUGUGGAAGGUAGUAUGGUCCCGUACUACUGAAAGCACAGGACCCAUACACGUAUCAAAGAAACCAUAACCUCUAGGGNCUAUUGAAAGCACAGGACCCAUAUGCGUAUCAAAUAAGCCACAACCUCUAGGGUUGGUUUGGGGGUUGGUUCCCGGGUUAGUGGGAAGUAUCUGAGAUCUUGCGAUGUUUUUUAGUAUGGUGGUUACGAGGCAUGCUGGGAGUGGAUCUGGGCCAGGAUCGGGAGCAGGAGAGGGCGGUCAUGGUGGGUCAGUACCGCCCGAGGUUAUUGGUCAGAUGAGCACAGACGAGUUGGAUGCUAGGGUUCGUGAGAUCCUACAUAAGGAGGUUGAUGUGUUGUUCCGGGCCGAGUUGCCAGAACUGUUUGGGUCAAUUAAGACCGCCAUGAUUGAGUAUUUUGAUGAGCGCUAUGUAGCUCUCACAGAGAUGGCUGCCGCGGCGGCUAUCACGGCUGUAGCAGCGGCAGGGGGAGGAGUCGGGCGAGGUUUUCAGUAUCAGGACUUCGAUAAUAAGAAGCCCCUACCUUCGAUGGGUUUCAGAACCCGAUUGUUGCUAUAAGAUGGUUUUCGGACAUGGAGGGGUGUUUCUUCAUGUGUUCAUGCCCUGCUGAUCAGAGAGUGAGGUGUGCUCCGAACCUGUUGAGGCUCGGGGUGAAGGAUUGGUGGAGAUGACCACGGGGUCGUAUUCGGAUGUGUAGAGGGAUGCGGUUUCAUGGGAUCAGUUCCGGGAGAUGUUUAGCACUCGUUAUGUUCCGCGGGUUGAGAGAGAGAGGUUGGCUCAGGAGUUCCUGGAGCUGAAGCAGGAUUCAGUGUAGGUGACGGAGAUCACCAGGAUGUUCACUGAGAGGGCGAUGUGUUUCCAUGAGUUCACUUCGGAGCAGGCUCAGAUGUCCCGAUAUCUGAGUAUGCUCAAAAGGGAUAUCGGGCAGUUUGUUUCUACGCAGAGGUGUGAGACCUUGUUAGAGUUGCUAGAGGCCGCCAGGCGGCGUGAGUUGGAGAUUAAGUUGCAGUUGAGAGAGCAGAGGCAGGCCCCGGCACAGUCGCAGUCGGCGUCAAAACGGUCCAAGACCAUUGAUUCUUGAUUGGGAGAUCAGAGCAGCCGCACUUGUGGAAAGUGUGGGAAGGGUCACACCGGAGUUUAUAGGUCCGAUGGUGCUUGCCGCAAGUACGGAAAGGAGGGGCACUAUGCAAGGGAUUGUCGGCAGACAGCCCUGGUUUGGGACUUGAGGAUUUGUUAUCAUUUCCAUCAGGUUGGACACUUGAGGGUCAAUUGUCCACAACUUGCUGCAGGACCGGUGCAGGCUCCAGCACCGGCCACUUUGAGGAUUAUGGGUGGAGGUCAGGGUGGAGCGGAGCCCCCAAGGGCUCAGGGUAGUGCUUUUCCGCUUACAGCAGAGGAGCUCAGGGCAGUGCCAGAUGCAGCUGCGGGUAUGUUCUUUCUUGAUGUCUUGUUAUCUUGUGAUUAUUAUGGAGUAUUGUAUAUUUGCUAGGCUCGUUGUAUGAUUUUUUGGUAUCGUAUUCGUUGUUCCUUGAGGGUUAUGGUAUGGUUAUGGGUUUGGUGUUGGGAGUUUCGUUGGUUAUCAUUCGUGAGUAUUAUUAGUGGGAAAUCUGGCUUUUGGUCUGAAUGUCGGGUAGCAUCUGCAGUCUGAGGAGUGGUUAGCUGAAGGUCGGGUUUCUUUCUAGCCUGAGAUGAUCAGUGUUGUUAUGUAAUUUUGUGAAGGUUGCUCGUUCUAGUGGGAAUCAGUUUGCGUGUGAGGGUUUUUAUUGUGUAGGGUUGUCGAGGGAGGUCGGUGAUGGCGACCGGUGGUUGAUAGUCAGUGCUCUAAGUGGGGGAGAAUUGGAAAUUCUCUGGGAGAUCGAUAAGCAUGAGAGGUUGUCUCGCUGUUGGGAAUCAACAGUGGUUCUGUCAGCUGAGCGUAGGCUGGUUUGAGUGAGUGUCAGACAGAUGGGGCGGGAUGCAGACCAAGAGUGAUUGAUUGUGGAAGGCCUGGAGUUGGGCCGGGAUUGAGUAUGUAGAAUGGAGAUAGAGUUCGGAGCCCCUAGAGGGCUAGAACAGUAUACAUGGGAGAGUUUCCUGGAGGGAUAAUUCGGGAUGUUGGAUGCUAGUUGAGCGGUCCGGAUAGACUGAAGGCCAGUGGGCGUACCAGUCAGGCCGAAGGCUCGGAGGACGGUCCAGACAGGCUGAAGGCCCUGUAGGGCGGUCAAGACCUACUGAAGGUUCUGAGAGUGGUCCAGAUGGGCUGAAGGCCUGGCAAGGCGGUCCAGUCAUGUUGAAGACUAUGUAUGUGUUGAUAGAUCUGUAUGAGGAUAUGGAAUGAGUAUGUCGUGAUGUGAUAGCAUCAGAAGGCUUGGCCCCGGGUUUUGAUCAUGAGUAGUGGAGGUAGUGCAUGGACUCGAGAGUCCCUGCGAGCGGAUGCAGAGCAUGCGUGGUGCAUGAGAUAGCAGUUAUGCUAUAAGGAAAUGGUGUAGUAUUGGGUGAGCACGGUGACACUUGUGGUAGUGUCAAGGCAGCCGAGUGGAUUUCCUUGGUAAGGAAAGGGAAAUGAAUGUAGCUCCGAGAGGGAGUGUAAGUUCACAGAAGUGAAAGCAGUAGUGCGGAGUUAUGAUUGGGGUGUUCGCAAUUAUGGUUAUUGAUCAGUGUGUUCCGGCGGUGGUUUGGAAUCACAUCCGGGUUGGAUGUUUGCUAAGGUCGCGGAAGGAAUUCCGCGGGUGUAGAGCCAAGAGGCUCGGAAAGGAUGCUUGGAUGGAAUCUUGCAUUCCCGGUUUGAUUUUGACCGAGGAAUUAUGUAUGGGGUGGAAAUUCAUCCUGAGGGAUGUUUGGAGGUGUCAUCAGUGUAUCGGGUUUUCCCAACCCGAGGAUGCUAGAGCCAGUUCAACAUGGGUAUGAGAUUGCGGAGGACAACUCAUGGGAGUUGCUCUGAGACUGAAGGAUGUGUCAUCCUGUCAGCAUGGAGUGGAUAAAGUUGGACUUAGACCGGGAUUCCAGUGAUUCAGGGUUAUUUCUAGCUCGUAUGAGUCAAUUUAUUGUUAUGAUUUGGAGCGAGUGAAGUAUCAUGGAGUGGUACUCGGUUGAUAAGUGUGCUUAUCAGAGGAUGAGGCCGCCGGCCGGCUUGAAGCAGUGGUCAGAACACCGCGGGAGGGAAAGUUGGGUUUUGGUUUUCGGUGGUUGUGUUUUGUGGACCUGGUCUGGUUAAUUCCAGGUGGUGCAUUGCGAGAGUAGUUAUGGAGUUGUGUUGCCGCAGGCUUCGAGGAUGAAGCCUAAUUUAAGUGGGGGAGAAUUGUAACAUCCCGAGUUCAGGAGUGCAAGUUCAGGGUUCAAAGUGUAAAUGUGAAAGGGCAACACGGCGAGUCCAUGAGUGGACUCGGCGAGUAGUGUCGCGAUUCUGGUCGCGUGUUUAGUGGCCAACUCGGCGAGUCGGCGGCUGGACUCGGCGAGUUAGUGCUGUGUCGAGAAAACCCUAAUUUCGGAGGAUGAGCCCUAUUUAAAGGACAUUAUACCCUCUCCCCAGCCUCUUUACUCUUCCUUAAAGNAGUGAGCGUUGGGGCCUUGAAAGAGUGUUGGUGGAAGAGAUUUUUGAAGGCUAAGAGGCUUGGAGCAAGGGGCUUUGCAAGGAUUCAGAUUUAUCUUCUGUUGGAGCCUUCUUUUGAGGUAUUAUUUCGUUGCUUGGGCUGUUAUUCAGCUAGAUUCAACAUUUUGGUUUAUUUGGAAAGAAUAACUUGUGAUAUUUUAAGCUUGGAGGUUAGAUCUGAGGUUGCUACCUCAGAUCUGGAAUGGAGAAGGUCUAGAGUGCAUUAAAGUCCCUGUUCUUGAGUGAUUGGUGAAGCCAUCUUGUCCCAAACCCUAACCCUAGAGUGAUAUAUGCUUAGAUCUCUUUGGAUUCACGUAAGGUUUGCUACUUUAUGUGAUGGAUGGGUUGUAAAAGGGUAGAUCUAUGGUUUGGAUCAUCUGCAUGGCCUGGAAAGCUUCUGUAUGGAUUAAGAUCUAGGGGUACUCGGCGAGUCACAAGGAUGUACUCGGCGAGUUGCUUGAAGGUGGGCAGAAACUCGACGAGUUGGAAGAACAACUCGGCGAGUUGGUUGAAGAUAGCCUUGGACUCAGCGAGUUUGUUCUUGGACUCGGCGAGUCUGGUCAUGAGGUCCUAACCUUCUUCUGGUUGAGCCGUGAAUCGGUGAGUCAAGGGAGGACUCGGUGAGUUGAGUGCGAGGGGACUCAGAGUUGUGGGACUCGGCGAGUCUCGGGGUGACUCGGCGAGUUGAGUCGCGGAUUGGGAAAGUUCUGAGCAUGGGGACUCGACGAGUCAUCGGGUUGACUCGGCGAGUAGAGUCAGUCAGGAGGUUGACUUUGACUUUGACUUUGACCAAGGGUUGACCAGUUGACUUCCAGGGGCAUUUUGGUAAUUGUUGGCAUUUGUUUUGAGUUCAGUGUUGGUGUUGGCUAGUGGUGGAGAUUGUGUCAGUGGUCGGAGCAUCUUGGUCUUAUCUUUUCAGUCGGCAGUUGCGAGGUGAGUUAGCCUCACUAUAUCGAUAGGUUCUACGGCACCAAGGCCGACCCUUUAUCGGAUUGUGAUACGGGUAUCGUUGUUUUGUUUUUCUUUGCUAUGUUUUCAUCCGGUAGUUAGGAUGGUAUAUGUUAGAGACCUGGUUAAGGUCGGUAUCCUGGUAUAUAGGAUGAUGCUAUGCUACUGACCGGUUAGGUCGGUAUCCUGGUUAGGAUGAUCUUAUGCUAUGUGAUCUGUUAGAUCGGUUUGAUUGGAUGUGAUUUAUUAUAUGAUUGAAUGUUUAUGUGAACAUGGUUGUUGGAUUGGGGUUGGGUUGAGGCGGGUCCUGCUUUUUGCUGUAGGCCAACAUACCCUGGGCAGACUGGUUAUCCCGAAGGCCCAGCGAGCGGUUCGGAUAGGCUUGCAGGCCCCAAGACGGCGGACCAGACGUGCCGAGGCUCGGAGAGUGGACCAGGCCGACUGAAGGCCUAGUGCGGGCGGACUAGUUAUACUGUAGAAUCAUAGAGUGGACCAGGUGGAUUGAAGGCCCGGUGCGGGCAUACCAAUCACACUGUAGACUUGAUGUAUGUGGCUAGACUCGGGGGGUGGGCCAGGGGGCUGAAGGGCGNGUGUGGACCAGGUGGACUGAAGGCCGGUGCGGCGGACCAGUCACACAGUAGACCCGAAGUGCAUGGCUGUUCUGUGUUCUGCUAUGAUAUGAGAUCUUGUGCGUGUAUGGUAUAUGUGGUUGGUAUUUUGGGGGCAUCUCACUAAGCUUUCGGGCUUACAGUUGUGGUUUAAUGUUUUUCAGGUUCUUUAGGAGACCGUGGCAAGGCAAAGGCGUGAUCAUACCGCUCCUCAUGAUUUUGUUUUAUGAUGUGGUUAUGGGAAGACUCUGAUAAUAAUUAUAUUGAAAACCUUUUUGUAAUAACUUAAUGAAACCGGGUUGUUUUUGAAAAGUUUAAAUUGGUUGAAUUUUUAGAGCGUUACAGACAUUCUAGUGGAACACUAGCAGGCUCACAACGUGUAGGUGUUGUGAACGAUGUGUUCACCCGUUGUACUCUAUAAACCCAUUGACAGGUAUUCUGAAUGGACUCUCGAAAACGAUACUGUCAAUUAACGAGAUAAACCUUGGAGACUAUGCAGACUUAGUACCGAUUCCUUAGGAUACUCCUUAGGAAUGAAUGAACAAAGAAUAGUUGAAUCUUAGGGUAGAUCCUUAAGAGUAAAGAAGAUAACAGGGAUGAGUAAUUGUGUUGGUUAUUUGAUGUUUACCAUAAUAAUUAUAUUAUUGUGGGCUGAAAACCCUAUGUACUCAUCGGGUUUCCCAACCUGACCCAGUGAAGCUUAUUUGUAUAUGAAGCUACUUAACGCUGAGGGAUUUAAAAGAGAUGCAGAUCACUAGUGUAAAUGAAUGUAAGUUCUGUUUAUGCUUAUGUUUUUGUAUUGACGAUGACAUGCCAAAUGUUUUAAAAUGGAUAAAAAUACAUUUUCUUCAGAAAUGCUUUGAUAACGUAUUUAUCAUGUUUUUUGGGAACAAAUUCCACAACAUUUUUAUUAAAAGAGGUACUCUGAUUUUUAUAAAGCAUAAACAAAAUCGGUCUUUUCUAGCCGUGAAAAUGGGGAUGUCAUAGUUGGUAUCAGAGCAUUAGUUUAAUCGAACUAGGAAUAAGGAUUUAUUUCUAGACUUAAACUUAGAAUGAUACGUGAUGAUCGUGAGGAGUGUGUCUAAUAUAUUUUAGGUAGUACACCUGAAUAGACACAAGCACUAGCUCAUUAAGGAUGCCUAAAUUGCUUUGAUGUGCUAAAUGAUUUGUGAUGCUUUAUGAUGCGAUCGCUUGAUCGGAUCUAUGGUCUGUUGCCGACCGGAUCUGGAAACUUUAUGUGUUCAGAUUUCUAAACGUUAGUUACGAUAUUAGAACUAGCAUGUACUUUUUCAAAGUAAUAAGGAGGAAUACACGUCUAAACUUCCUCUAUCUAUAUUUUUGUCUCGACAAACCAAACGAGUGCUUUGGUGUGCAAAAAAUCUUGGUGAAGACUCAUAGUGAAUUGAAUAAAUGGAGGAAAUGAGAAGACUUACGAUACCGAGUGGUACCAAUCUGAAGAUAUCGUAAGAGUGAUAUCUUGCCUUUAGAAUGCGUCUAAGAAAUAAUACGUCUUGUACCAGAUUAUUACACUUUCGAUUUGCAGAAAGAAAGAUUUUUUGUAUAAUCCAUGAAGUUAUCCCAUCGUCUGAAAUUUCCAUCACCAACCGAGUUGAAGCAGAAUUGAUGAUCGAAGAUACGCAUGGAAGAAGUCCUAGUAGAGUCUAGGGAAAAUUAUAUGAUUGUUUGGACACAUUUGUAUGUGUUAAAAUUGUUUUUGUGAAAAUAAUUUCGAGAACUGGGAGACAAUAUUUGGGACGAGUAUGAGUAGGUGUGAAAGGUAGUAGAGGCCUAUACUACCGGAAGCACAUGACUCACACUUGGAUCAGGGAAAGUCACAAGGUUACCAAGGCGCUAGUAAUUGAUUUUGUUUUGUUCAUAUAUGUUGUUACCAUCGUUUCGGUAAUGAAGAAGAAGAUGAUUGUUAAUCCGACCCUAGUGGUCACAUCAAAUUGAGUUCGACUAAGAUGAGUAUGUUAUGUGGUUCAAAGAACCAAGAUCGAUGUAGCAUCUGACUUAAGUCAGAAGAUUGGAAUGAAAGAUAAUCGAAGCGAUCAAUAGAAGUAUCGCAACCAUUGUUAAGGUUAGAAGCUUGUACCUAGAAGUGCUACAUGCUAGAAUGUGAUUAUAUCACAUUAGAACAUGAAUGAAGGUAUAUUCCGUUUUCGAAUGUAACUCUAAAAGACCUGAUUCUAAGCGUUGCAUCAUACGACGAGAUGUCAUUAGAACAUGCCCCAUCAGUCUGUUACGGUAAUCAAAGUAAAGACUGUUUCCGAAGGAGCAAGGGUCUCCAAUAAGGAUCGAGAUUGUGACUUAAAGGUCGUGAUUGAAAGUCCAACGUGAGAUAGAGAGCAGGUGCAAGAUCGAGCACCGCCUGCAGUCUAAAUGUCCAAAAGUUAUAUACUCAUUCGAAGGAACAUAGUAGUUACGGUUAUUACCUAGGAUGGAAAUAUAACAUAUGGAGUCAAUAUACAAGCCCUAUUUCAUUGAUGAUUCUAAGAUGUAAUCAUCCUACGGGGGGAUAUAAUUGUAACACCCGUAGAUUUGGGUUAGUCAAUUUAGAGACAAUAAGCAUCAAAAAUAACUUUUUUUUGAUAUAAGAGUAUUUAGAAUAAAUAAUCUUGACCAAGUUAUAUUAUAUGUCACAAGGGUUCCGUACAUAUAAAGAAUGCUAAAAUCUGAGUUAUAACAAAAUAGUUAUGACCCGUCGAGAUUUUACGGCAAAACCGACACGACACUGGGAAUCGUAAAAAGUGAAUUUACGUUAAAAUAGUUUCUAGCCUUAGCGAUCUAAACGAAAGUCGUAGUAUAUGUUAAACUGAAAGUGUGCAUAAAGAGAACGUCCAAAUCUGACUUCGUAUGAGAAAGUUAUGAUUUUUCUAAGAUUUAGCAUAAUAGUACACAACCCGAAAUUCGAAUUUUAGAUCGGUCGAUUUUUAACCAAAAAGUAUUAAUGAGAAAUGAAGAUAUCGUUAAUAGGAGUUCAACGAUAAAAAGACAGUAGAAAACAGAGCUCUUAUGCGAAAGAUAUGGACGAAACUUAGUCCCUACUCUUCGAGCGCGGCUAAUUCGAUACAGUUUUGUAAAUAUGAGAUAGAGUCAGAAUUUGCCGAUGGAAUCUAAAUGAAAGUUGUAGUACUCGUAAAUACCAACGCAUGGAUAUAAAUAAUGUCGAUAAUAGAGCUUGUAUGCGAAAUAUAUGGACGAAACUUAGUCCCUACUCUUCGAGCGCGAUAAAUUCGAUACAGUUUUGAAAAUCGGAGAUAGAAUGAGAAUUAGCCGACGAGGUUUAAAUGAAAGUUCUAGUACUCAUAAAUACCAACGCGUGGAUAUAAAGAAUGUAGAAAACGGAGCUCGUACGCGGAAGAUACGGACGAAACUUAGGGCAUACUCUACGAUAAAACCGCUAUAAAUAAGAGAUUAACUCUUCGUAUAUUCUUCACACCAUAAGCCUUUAUUUCUCUCUCUAACUUCUCUCUAGACUCCCUAAACCCCCCUAAAGCCUAGAAAACUUCCAUAGCACUAGAAGAAAACCCCGGAGCAAACGAAGGCUUUGAGAAAAAGAGCUUUUCGGCUCAGAAGCUCUACUCCAGCAGAGCCCGGUUUAUAAUAAGACCCGCUCUAUGUGAAAUAAGCCUACCAUACUUUAAAUAUAGCUUAUAUUUAAAUAUAAUCUAGUUUUUAUGAACCUAGAAAUAAGAUUUAUCAGUGAUUCCAAUUUUUCAUAAUGAUUGAUCUACUUACGAGAAUGAUGUCUAGGCUGUGAUUUAGUGAGGUGUUUAAAGUGGGAUUUCUAAAUAAUAUACUUUAUAUACCAAACGGAACCUACCUCCGAUAUGACCCUACCUAGUUGUUCCUUACUUGAUAGAGAAUGAUAGUAGACUUUGGGUUAAUGAUGAAUCUAGAAUAAUAAUUAGUCGCAAUAAAUAUUAGACUAAAACUUAGCGAUAAUAAUGCUAGGUUUCGUCAAAGAAAAAUAGAAGCGUUAAAUCCGAAGCACUGCCCUAGUUUAGAAUCAUCACUUUAACAAGUGAGUGCAUAGUUACUUUCACAUUACACAUAAACAUGAAGUAUUUUAUAUAAAUUACGUGCUAUGUGUGUAUACUUUUUGAAUACUUGUUGUCUAUGUUGGAUGAAACGUUUUAUACAUGUUUUAAACGAGCUAAACUGUAUAUGUAUUUUAUAUCUACAAAAUGUGUUGGGUAUAACAUGGGUAGAUUAGAGGUGAGAUAAAUGAAGAGCGAUGAAAGAUGAGAUAAAUGAUGAGCGAUGAAACACGAGAUGAAUGAUAAGCGAUGAUAUAUGUGUGAUAAAAUAUGGUGUGAAACGAUGACCUAAGCGAUGAGCCAAACAAUGACCCAAGCAAUGGCCCCAUCAUCCAGUAGAGUAUAGAUGACAACCAAGGACUAUUCUAGACAGUCUACUGGAACACUAGCAGGCUCACAACCCGUAGGUUUUGUGAACGAUGUUUUCACCCAGUGUACUCUAAAAACCCAUUGACAGGUAUUACGAGUGGACUCUCGAAAACGAUACUGUCAAUAAACGACAUAAACCCUGGCAACUAUGCAAACUUAGUGCUGAUUCCUUAGGAUACUCCUAGGAAUGAAUGAAUGAGGAAUAGUUGAAUCUUAGGGUAGAUCCUUAAGAGUAAAGAAGGUACUCUGAUUUUUAUAAAUCAUAAACAAAAUCGGUCUUUUCUGGCCGUGAAAAUGGGGAUGUCAAACCAACCGAUAUGGUGCCUUGGCUAUCGGAGCCGCACCAGGGACUAGGUUAAUCCUUAACUCUACCUACCUCUCUGGAGGUACCCCGUGAAAAUCCUCUGGGAACACGUCCGGAUACUCCCGUACGAUCGGUACAACAUGCACUAUCACCUUACCCUUCUCCCAGGCAUCCAUAACAUAGGCGACAUAACCUGCGCAACCCUACUGAAGGUAGUGCCUCGCUCUCGUUGUUGAACAUAAAGUUGGUCCACCCUGCGGCCUCUGACCUUGAAUCACUAUAACUCCCCCACUUGGGGUCCGAAUUCGGACAAGCUGCUGCUCACAGUCUAUCACUGUCCCCUUAGGGCUAAACCAGUCCAUGCCCAUUAUAACCUUAUUCCCUGGCAUGGGAAUAGGGACUAAAUCCAUAGGAAACUGCUCAUCAAACAACUGCAGUGUAUAUCCAUGAUGAACCCUUGAAACCCGAAUGGUCCUAUCAUUUACUAUCUCUACAUUUAGUUGACAGUGCAGCUCCCUUGGAGCUCCCACAAACCGCUUGCUGAGUGUGAGCGACACAAAAGAUCAGGUAGCCCUCAAAUCAAAUAUACCAUAGCAGAUAUAUCGUUCACAAGGAACGAUCCUAUAAUGAAAUUCAUAAACAUAAGAAAUAAUCAAUAUCAAUAAAAAGAUAAGGAGAAGAUACAUACCUGUCACUACAUCGGGAGCUACACGUGCCUCUUAUGUUGUCAACUGGAAGGCUCUGCUCUUCGCCACUGUCACCUUUGUCUGGCCCUGAUGGCCAUUGGUAAUCCUCAACGUAGCAGGGGCGGGUGCCGCCACUUGUCCUAAUGCUACUAAACUCGGGCAUUUGGACCGCUUGUGUCCCCUCUGAUUGCAAUGAAAGCAAAUCAUAUCUGAUACUGUCGUGGUAGUGGUGGUGGUAGUAUUACAAUCCCUGCUAACAUCACUAGUUUGGCCACACUUUAAGCAGCCCGAACUACCUGUCAUGCAUGUCCUCUCGUGCAACUUGCCGCACUUACCCUAAUGGAUGCGGCCCUGCUGGCUCCUCGAUCGGUGAUCUGAUACCUUGGGCUUUUUCGCCGCACUCUUUGACUGAAUCCCCUAUGGUUUCCUCUUCUUUUCCGUCUCCAAAUCCAACUCUCUCUCUCUCGAGCCCUCGCAAUCAUAUCCUCCAGUGUCUUGCAACUGGAUCGUCUCAUAAACUGGCGAAUAUCACUUUGCAACAUCUCAAGGUAUCGGGCCCUUUUCAUAUCCUUGUCCGCCACGUACUGCAGAAUGAGAAGGGCCCUCUCCCUAAACAUGGCAGUGAUCUCGGUCACCGUCUCAAUAGUCUGUAGGAGAUCCUAGAACUCCCUAGCAUGCUGUUGCACCUCAAUCAUAGGUACAAACUCGGCUCUGAACCUGGCCAAAAAGUCACUUCUGGUCAUCGCAUCUAAAGUUGCAUCAUCCCCAAUGGCAUGUCCGAACUCCUCCCACCAGUCGCGUGCUUUGUCCUUCAGAAGACAAGAAGCAACUCAAACCUUGUUCCCCUCGGGACAUCAGCUCGUACAGAAGGCAUUGGUGACAUCAACCAACCACCUGCUUCUAGAAAUGGGGUCCCAAGCCCCAUGAUAGUCUCGAGCUCCAUAAGCCCAAAACUCCUUGAAAGUCAUCGUACGCGCCCCUAGCAUGUCCACCAUCUUGGUGCAGAAUGCUUCCAACCUCUCAUCAAGUAUCUCUAAGAUUCCCUCCUGGAUCGUACCGAAGAUCACAAGAGUCUGGUCUAAAAUAUUACACAUGACCUCAGAUGAAAUGAACUCUCUCAUCUGCUCGUCGAGCUACCCGACACCAGAGCCCGAGCCCAAUCCCUCAUUGGCAUCUUAACUGCCAACUGGUCUAGUGCGUAGCAUCACCAUACUAAAAAUACACCAUAACAAACAUCAUAAUAUGCAUAAGAACUCGAGGGAUCUCACGUACUACAAGAUUCCUUGGUGCAUCACAGCCUUCCUUGAUUCAAGUAUGGAUCCUCUGCUUUUAGUAGUACGGGCCCAUACUGCCUUCCACAUCUAUCCGUACUCUCCUCAAGAACUGCCUUGACUCCACUAAGUCCCCUUUACUACUGCUACUCUCUGCUAAUCUCAUCCUAGGCUUGCCCUCGGGAAAUCUCCGACCCACUCCCCGCCAUCGGUUGCAUAAGAAGUCCCUACUACCUCCCCCUAACUAGCUCGCAAAUACUAUUACAUAUCACUAAGACUAGAUAAUUCUUCAAAUAAGAGGUCCUACCUUACAACAGUUGGACUCAGACAAGAGCUGCGAAAUAGAGCUGAACCUAACCUUCUGAAAUUAUUUAGUCCUCAUAAUAUGUAACUUAACAUAUUCGUUUACUAGUUAGUUAAAGAUAACUAGAACUCCUAAAAGCACAAAGCAAGAAGUAUUCGAGCAUUGAGUAACAUAAUCAAGCACACCCUACUCAGACCAUCAUAUUACUGACUAAUCAGUACUAGCAUAUAGUUCAAUAAGCUCAUAUAGCAGGCAUAUAAGGCAUCCUUCCUAGAUCCUUAGCCCAAACUAGCAUGUAGUUCUCAUACACAUAUAACAAGCAUACAAGGCAUCAUUCCUAGAUCCUAAACCCUAAUCUAGCAUGCAGUUCUCUUAAUCAUAACAUAACAAACAUGUAUGGGUAAUUUGGGAGAACUUACUUGAGGUCGGCUAAUUGCAUGCACCACACCCUUUUCUCUUUUAAAAAUCCCUUUUUGUAUAAAUGUUUUUUCCUUUUUAAAAAUUUUUAUACCAAGUCCCCAGUUUAAGUUCAGACACACCUAAGAGUGUGCCCGAAUUCCUCAAACCAAGACUCUGAUACCAACUUGUAACAUCCCAAAAAUACGAUCCAACAAUUUCGUUUUUAAUUAUUAAAUAAAACCAUAGUCAUCAAAUCAUCACAUAAAAUCAUAAACAAUUGUAUCUCAAAAACAUCAUAAUCAUCUGUCAAAUAUAUCAGAGUAAAACAUCCCAUGAUAAAAACAUGGUGUGUGCACUGCAGUCAUCCCGAGGUCUUCCCCUUGCUACCGGAAGUACCUGAAACCAAAACUGAAAACCGUAAGCACGAAGCUUAGUGUGUCUCCUUAAACUUCCAAAUACCGUACACAUAAUCAUAUUAGCACAUAAUAACAUACAUGGGCCUAGCCCGCUACAUCGGGCCCCGCCCGACAUCGGAAAAGUCAGGCAUCGGGCCCUGCUCGACGACGGACCAAAAUCCAACAUUGAGCCCCGCCCGACAUCGAGCAAAGCUCAAUAUACAUAUAAACAUAUCAACAAAUACAAAUAAAUAAUCACAUAUCAUAAACAUAUCAACAUUCCUUGGGCUUUCCCCGACAUCGGACUGAAGACCAGAAACAUAUAAAACAAGCACAUGCAAGAAUCACGACGACAUCAAGCAUACAAACAUUUCUCGGGCUUUCCCUAGCAUCAGACUGAAGUCCGGAAACAUAUAAACCUACAUCGGACUUGCCCGACAAUGGACCUUAGCCCGGUAUAUACUAACAUACAUAAACGGACCGACAUUGGUGCCUUCGACCCAUUCCUACAGGAGGAAACUCCCCUCGCAAAGCUGAAUGCAUAAUCUCACAGUAAGGAAUCUUUAACGGCUACUUCAACGACUUUCGGGCUAUUAUUAUCACAACAAAAUUUAUUCAAAAUCUAAAAAUCCUUCUUUGGGUAAAAUGACCAUUUUACCCAUGGUCAAAGUCAACAUUCUGGGUUGACUCAAAUCGCCGAGUUGACCCAUCAACUCGUCGAGUUCCAUAAAUCAAAAAGCCCUAAAAUCACGAUCCAACUCGUCAAGUUCUUCACAAACACGUCACGUUUCUCCUAUCAACGGAAUCGGUACUUUCCAAGUCCACUGGUUGAGUUCGUACUAAACUCAUUGAGUCUUACCUUUUACAGAGUCGGGGCAUUUCGACCCAACUCGUCAAGUUCCUUUAUGAACUCAUCGAGUUCUUCCGUCUUUUAAGCUAUCUUAAUAGAUUAAGCUCCUAUCCUUCAGAUCUAAGCUUCAUACUUCAUAUGCAUACUGGAAAUAUCCUUUUAAGGGUAAAGUUUCUAUCUUUACCCAUUAAUACUCUUCCUUAAUGGAUUUAGCUGAAACCUUAACUCUUUAAGACCUAGUUCUUGAUCUAAAAUCCAUUAAUACUUCAAGCUAAGGCAGACAAACUGAGAUCUAGAUUCUAGACAUUACUUGGACACGUAAAGUCUCUGCCUUCCUCUCUAUGCAUGGCCUUUAGGGGCAUAAAAGGACAAAAUUACUUCCUAAAGCUUGCAUGAGGCUACAAUGGCCAUAAAGUUUGCACCGUUAUGCCUCAAAAGCCCUUCAAGGUCCUGGAUCUGGAAGUAUACUCACUUGGGACGUCCAUUUCCGAAGGACCAUGCUACCUGGACCAAAAACCAAUAAAAGUGAAAAUGAAGAGAUCUAAAUAAUCAUUAAGCAAGUUUGAGACUUGCUUACUAGAAAAUGCUACAAAUUGAGUGAAGUUUCCGAAUCUUAAAGUUUUCUCUUGGGCCCUCAAGCUUCUCCUUCUUCUACAAGCUUCAAAUACACAAGUUUUCUCUCAAAAUGACUCAAAAGCUCACACAAGGCAUUAGGGUUUCGAGAUUUAGGGUAUAGGACUUGGAGGAUGUAAAUGAGGCCAGCCUGUGGAGGUUAAGGUGUUUAAAUAGGGUGCAAAACCCAGAAAAAUAGGGUUUCAUUCUACUUGUCCUACUCGUCGAGUUGAGGCUCUUAACUCGUCGAGUAGACUUUACAACCCGCAUCCAAUUCCAUUCCUAUUCGAUGAGUUUGGGGCCUCCAACUCGUCGAGUUUUCUAUACAAAAGUGAAUAAGGAAUUAAUUAAAUAUAUACCAGGAACUAGGCAAUACAUUAAAUCCCCAUUUCAAAAGUACUCAUGAAUGUUGCAGCAAACUAUUGCUAUGUCGAAACACUUAGACAAUCUAUAACUCAAUUCAUUACAUUCUUAAUUCGCUACUUACUUCCAAAGUAUGAUCGACUGUGGAUAUUUGAAUAAUGUAAUUAUUUUGGAAGUAAAACAUGCUAAAGUGAAACAAAAUGAUAACAAUUGACAAAAGAUAGUAAACAAUACUCAUAAAUAAAUCUCCAUUAUUUAAUCAUCAAGUGUCAAUUCCAUUUAUUUGUUACAAGUUUCUAAAUAUCUACUUAAUCACUAAAACUAAUAUCAUCCUUCAGACCAAUGGUCCUUGCAUGCUGAAUGUGAUUAACCCUACUCAGACCCAUUGUGAGGGGAUCAACAUGAUUCUUUUCAGAUGAUACCCUCUUUAUGACGAGGUGUCCUUCUUCUACUCGAUGUCUAAUAAAGUGAUUUUUUCUAUCGAUAUGUGUAGAUCUUCCAUGAUCUAUUGGUUCCUUGGUCAAGGAGACCGCUCCUUUAUUAUCACAGAAAAUCUCCAUCGGCUCCUUAAUGGAUGACACAACUCCAAGGUCUCUAAUGAAGUUCUUCAACCAUAUAGCCUCCUGUGACGCUUUGCUCGCAACUAUAUACUCCAAUUCACAUGUAGAAUUAUCUACGGUAUCCUGCUUAGAACUUUUCCAAGUCACAUCUCCUUCAUUAAGGGUAAACACCCAACUAGACUGAGAAUGGAAGUUGUAUCUGUCUGUCUGAAAGCUGGUGCCUCUAUAUCCAGUAACUCUCAAGUCAUCACUGCCACCAAGCACAGGGACCCAGUCCUUAGUUCUUCACAUAUACUUAAUAAUAUUUUUGACCACUAUCCAAUGAGCUUUACCUGAAUUUCCCUGAUGUCGACUACUAUGCUCAAAGCAAAAGCUGCUUCAGGGCGAGUACAAGUCAUAGCAUACAUGAUCGAUCCAACGGCGGAAGCAUAUGGAGCUCAACUCAUUUACGCUACCUCUGCAUCGAUAAUUGGCCUCUGAGUCUUACUCAGCUUGGUAUUACUCUAGAUAGAUAACUUUCAUUUCUUUGAAUUUUCCAUGCUAAAACGAUUUAGCACCUUAUCCAAAUACGUGCUUUGACUAAGUCCAAUCAAUCUUGUACUCCUAUUUCUCAAAAUCCUUAUUCCUAGAAAUGUAACACCCCGACUCUCAGGUAUUAAUUUUAUAGCUUUAUUUUUCAUAUUGAAAGGUCUACUCGAUGAGUUGGAGGCCCUGAUUCGUCGAGUAAGAACGUUUUUGGCCGCGAGUUUAAGUAACCAACUCAACGAGUCAGAGGACAUGACUCGACGAGUAGGAGCUGGUGGAUGAAAACCUAAUUUUCAUGGUAUUGUACCCUAUUUAAAGGUUCAUUGGCCUCCCUUAGCCUCCCCUUACAGCCCUUGUGAGUCAAAAUACCCUAAUUUGUGUGUGCUCCAUUCCUAUGUGAUGUUCAAGCUUGGAAGGUGAUUUGUAAGAAGAAGGCUUGAAGUAUAAGAGGAGUUGUGUAAGAGGAGCUAGUAGGUCUGACUUUUCUACUUCUUGGCAUCAGUUUGAAGGUAACAAGUUGUUACCUUGACCUUCCCUCUUUCUAGAUCUCUUUGUGAUUGAAUAUUAGGGCUUUUCCUANNNNNNNNNNNNNNNNNNNNNNNNNNNNNNNNNNNNNNNNNNNNNNNNNNNNNNNNNNNNNNNNNNNNNNNNNNNNNNNNNNNNNNNNNNNNUCUUUAUAUAUAUAUAUAUAUAUGUAUUAGCCAUUUUUGGGUAUGGGUUAGGAUCUGAAGUUGCAAAUUCAGAUAUGAGCUUAUCUGGGUCUCUAUAGCUACAAAGUCUCAAGAUUUAGGAAGCAUGAACCUUCCAUUUUGAGAUAAACCCCAAUAUAAGCUUGGAUUUGACAUUCUAAGCCUUUAAAUCCUUACAUGAACGUAAAGUUUGCAACUUUACGUGAUAAACAUGCCUUGAGAAGCUUGAUCUACAAUAUGGAGCCUUGGAGUGGCUUAAAAAGCAUCUGAAUGGAGGAAGGACUAAAGGGACUCGACGAAUUGCAUGGCCAACUCGACGAGUCCGAUGAAGAUUAUUUUGCAAGGACUUCUGCAUGGAGGUGACGAGUCAGCUAGGGGUUUCCCGACUUUUGAACAUUCAUGAACUUGGCGAGUUGCAUUGAAAAUCGACGAGUCAACGGGGGAUUUCAUGACUUCUCGAGUUCAGGAAGGACUCGACGAGUCGGGUCAAUAUGGACUGUUAACCUUGACAAUUGAAUUGGACUGUGAUCAAUGGUUGACUAGUUGACAUCGAGGGUAUUUUGGGAAAUUGGAAGUUUGUGGAUAUGGCUCUAUGGUGAAUAUAGGUGGUGGAGUUCGUGUCCGUGGUUCGAGAGUUUGAUCCGAUCGCUUCGAUUCGACAGUUAAUAGGUGAGUUGUCCUCAGUAUAUCAACAUGGUCUAAGGCACCAAUGUCGGCACUUUUUGGAUUUGUAUCAGGGUUUCUUACACGUUAUGCUUUAUGAUAUAUAUAUAUAUAUAUAUAUAUAUAUCCAGGUUAUAGGAUGGUUGCUAUGUUAGAGAUCGGUUAGAUCGAUAUCCUGGUUAUAGGAUGUUUUCCAUGAUUAGUGAUCAGUUAGAUCUACAUGUUUACUUGUUUAUAUGUAUGUGCACAUGUUUGUUGGUUUUGGGAAAGGGUUGAGGCAGGUCCUACUGUGUGCAAUAGGCCAAGACACCCUGGGCGGACCGGGUUGACUGCAGGCCCGACCAAGCAAAUCUUGUUAGCCGAAGGCCGACUGAGCGGUUCCAAUAGGUUGAAGCCCCUGAGGAGGGCGGUCCAUACACACUGAAGGCUCGGAGAGCGAUCCAGAUAGACUGAGGACCAAGAGUCGGUNACUGAAGGCUCGGAGAGCGAUCCAGAUAGACUGAGGACCAAGAGUCUCUCCAGUCAGACUGAUGGCUCGUUUUGCAUGUUGUUUGCUUAUAUGUUUAUAUGAUAUUCUAAUGUCAGUAUGGCGUUGGUAUUUUGGAGGUAACUCCCUAGUCCUUCGAGAUUACAUUUAUUUAUUAUUGUUUCAGGUACUUCUGAUGAUCGCGGGAAGGAGAAGGUGUGAUCGUGCGCCUCCUUAUGUUUUUACUAUUGAUUCUAGGAAACUCUAAUAUUAAAGCAUUUUGAAAACAUACUUGUUAUAAUUAUCGGUUUUUGAAUAUCUUAAAAAGUUUUAAAUUGGCAUGAAUUUUAUGGAUGUUACAAGUGGGUAUUAGAGCCUUGGUUUGAGUGAAUUGGAGGAAAGACUCGUGUGUCUCCAGUCUCAAACUAAGGACAAAAUUUUUAAUGUGAUUUUUUCAAAUGGAUUUGAAAAUAAUAAAGGAGUAUGCAAGUGUACAAUCAGCCGGAGAUCGUGAAUAGACCCCAAAAUACCUUACGGAUUAUUUAAUUUGUGAUAUGUUUGAACAACAUGCUAGUACUAGGCUAGGGAUCUUCAGGAAUUACAUGAUAUAAUUGCCUGAUUAUAUGAUGUAUGCUAGCCUAGGGUUUGUCCUUAUAUGAAAUUGACAUCAUUACUAUAGUUGCUUAGCGUAUGCAUCACGGUUGUACAUAAUUAAGAUCUUAUAGACAGAGAGUGUUUGGUUUGGCCUUAUUUCUUAUUCUUGUUUGAUGAUGGGCUUAGGGUAGACUUAGGUAUUCGAAAGUCUAUAGGGUCUAGAGUUAUGUAUGGCUAGCAUACACAAGUGCUGCAGGUUUUGUGGAAGUUUCAUGGAUGGGUUGUUGGAAAGAGUCCGCCAGUUAUGAGAUAUUUAGCCUUGCUCUAGGAGUGUGGAUUGAGUGCAUGCCAUGCUUACGUAUAGUUUAGGGCGUUGUGAUGAUACUUGAUACAAAUAUGGGUAGGUGUGGAAGGUAGUAUGAUCUCGUACUGCUGAAAGCACAAGACCUAUACGCAUAGCAAGGAAGUUAGAACCCCUAGGGUUCUGUUUGGGGUUGGUUCCCUGAUUAUUAUAUGGAAUAUCUGAUAUCUUCCUGGUGUGUUUUUCUUCAUCGUGGUUUCUUGACAAUUUGUGACUUGAUCCGGGUCGGGAUCAAGAGACGGCGGGCAAGAGGCACCCCUAGUGCCCGAGACUAUUGGCCAGAUGAGGCCAGACGAGAUGGACGCCAGGAUCCAAGAGAUCCUACAGGAUGAGGUGGCUGCACAAUUUUGGGCUCAGUUACCGGAGAUGUUCGAGUCUAUCAAGACCACCAUGAUGGAGUAUUUCGAUGAUCUCUAUGCAACCCUCACUGAGGCGGCUGCCACAGCAGCCGCAACGGCUGUAACAACGGCAGGGGUAGGAGCUAGUCGGGCCUUCCAGUAUCGGGAAUUCAAUAACACGAAGCCCCUACUUAUGAUGGGACUCAGGACCCCAUCAAAGCCAUGAGUUGGCUAUAUGAUGUGGAGGAGUGUUUCUACGCGUGUUCAUGUCCUACUGACUACAAGGUCAGAUGUGCCCUAAACCUGUUGAGGUAUGGGGAAAAGGACUAGAGGAGGUUGAUGACUGGAGCUUAUUCGGAUGAUCAGAGAGCCGCAGUUACUUGGGAGUAGUUCCAGGAUAUGUUCCGUGCUCACUACAUUCAGAGGGUCAAGCGGGAGCGGUUACCUCAGAAGUUUCUGGAGUUGAGACAGGAGAGUGAGACGGUGAUGGAGAUGACCCGCAUGUUCACAGAGAGGGCGAUGUUCUGCCUGGAGUUUGCCUCUGAGCAGGCUCAGAUGACACAUUAUCUGAGCAUGCUCAAGACCGACAUACAUCAGUUUGUAGCUACUCAACGGUGUGAUACCCUGCUAGAGCUACAGGAGGCCUCUAGGUGGCAUGAGUUGGAGAUUGAGCUAUAGUUAGGAAAAUCACAUAAUAGUUUAACACAUCAGAUAACAAAACGAAGGUUUUAUUAUUUCUUUACACUAUUAUGUAUGUGUUCAAGUUCACCCUAGACUAUGCCUCUAAUAGGCUACAUCAUAAGAUAUUAUGGCUACUGCAUAACUUGAUCUUCGGAUAUGUAGUCCUCAUCCUUGAUUCCUCGCGCGGUUUUCUGCUUCGUCGAGGAUCAUGUGGAAUGCCCUUGGCCUCGGCGGCGUUUCUGGUCUUGCUGCUUUAUUUUUCCCCGAGCAGUCCCUAGAAAUAUGCCCUUCUUUGUUACAUCCAUAACACACCUUCUUGUUGGACGCACACUUGCUGGCGUAAUGCCCUGUCUUUCCACAUUUGUAGCAAGUCACCUCCUCGCCACAUUUCCCGAAGUGCUUCUUUUUACACUUCUCGCACCACUUGGAUUCACCUCCUCCUCCUUCUUCUGUUUUUGAGAAUUUCUUUUCUAUGUUGGAUUUUGAAGAUCCCUCGUGCUUCCUUUUCUCGCCAAUUUCAGCUCUUUCCAGACCCUUCUCUCGUAUCUGGGUCUCCACAUUCUUAGCAGCCCAGAUGGCGGCUUUUAGAGUGGUAGUUUGCUUGACCAUUGGACCGAAGUUCGCUGGUAAUUCGAGGGCAAAUUUGUUAACCUUGGAGAGUUCAGUUGGGAGGAGGUGAGGAACAAGCUUCAUUUUCUCAGUAAAGCUUUCAGCAUAUUGAGUAACGCUCAUUUUUCCCUUCUUCAGAUUUUGGAAUUCGUUGUUGAUCUCCAGAAGAUCCUGCUCAGAGCAGUACUGCAUUUUCAACAACACCAGAAAAUCCUCCCAUGACAUCUUGCUCGCUUCUCCUUUGGGCAUUGAAUCGGCUAGAAGCUUCCACCAACUUAGUACUCUAGAUUUCAACAAAGGAACCGCGAGAGCAGUCUUCUGCCUGUUGCUACACUCGCAACUUUCAAACAUCGUCUCCAUCUCAGAGAUCCAGUUCAUGACUUCCACCGGCGUCGGGCUUCCAGAUAGACUCNNNNNNNNNNNNNNNNNNNNNNNNNNNNNNNNNNNNNNNNNNNNNNNNNNNNNNNNNNNNNNNNNNNNNNNNNNNNNNNNNNNNNNNNNNNNNNNNNNNNNNNNNNNNNNNNNNNNNNNNNNNNNNNNNNNNNNNNNNNNNNNNNNNNNNNNNNNNNNNNNNNNNNNNNNCCCCCCGGCCAUUGUUAUUGGCUCAGCGGCGGCUACCACAACCGGUAUUUGCUCAAUCACUGGGGGCUGAUCUCGGUUCCCAUUUUCAUUCACGUUUCCGCUACGGGUCGUUGCCAUCUUGAUCUAUACACCGAAUAAGGUGAAUCUAGAUCUUUAUUUAGGAUUGAUGUUUGAAUCAUCCUUAUCACUCCGAAACGUUUACAUGCUAGUUCUAAUAUCGUAGUCGUACGUUUAGAAUCCUAAAAACAUAAGGUUUCCAGAUCCAGUCGGCAACAGACCAUAUAUCCGAUCAAACUAUAGCAUAAAGCAUAACAAAUCAUUUAGCACGUAAAAGCAAUUUAGGCAUCAUUCCUAAAAUAAGCUAGUGCUCACACCUCACAAUCAUCGCUUAGCAUUCUAAGUUUAAGUCUAGAAAUUUCUUACAAAUUCCUAGCUCGCUUAAACUAAUGUUCUGAUACCAACUGUGACAUCCCCAAAAUCACAGCCAGAAAAGACCGAUUUUGUUUAUGCUUAUAAAAAUCAGAGUACUUCUUUUAAUAAAAAAUGUUGCGGAAUUUGUUCCCAGAAAAACAUGAUAAAUACGUUAUUAAAACAUUUUCGAAGUUCGUUAAAUCCCCAUAACUUCUUCAUCCGAUGUCCGUUUUCUUCCAUCUUUUUCUCAUUACGCUACUCCUAAUGAGAUCUUCGAUUCUUGUUUAGGUCGUGUCGGCUAAAAAUCACUCGAUCAAAUAUUCAAAUUUCGGUCUGUACACUGCUAAUCCGAAACUUUGAAAAAUCAUAACUUCUUCAUACGAAGUCAGAUUUGGGCGUUCUUUUUAUCGAUGUUCUUAGUUUAACAUAUUCUAUGACUUUCGUUUAUAUCGCUAAGGCAAAUACUCGCUCUAUCAUAAAUUCACUAUUUACGCUUCCCGGUACCGUGUCCGUUUUGUCGCGAAACUUCGACGGGUCAUAACUUCUUCGUUAUAACUCGGAUUUCGGCGUUCUUUAUAUGUACGGAAACCUUGUGACAUAUACUACAACUUGGUUCAAAUUAUUUAUUCUAAAUAAUCUUUCGUUGAAAAGUCGUUUUGGACCUCUAUUGUCUCUAAAUUGACUAGCCCGGAUCUACGGGCGUUACAGUCUGGACAAAAUUGAAUCAUUUAUAAAGUCCAAAGACCAUAAGGACAUGCUAAAGAAUCUUUUGGAUGAAAAUGAUGGGUUGAAACUCAAAGCCGAAACUAUACAAAAAUUUGACUCAUUGAGUACCAAAUUAAGUUCAGAAAAUAAAAUUGAUGUUGAAAAUGUAUCUGAACUUAUUGAGGAUGAUUACAUGAGUGAAAUCUCUGUAGAGGAUGAGGUUGACUGUUCAGAGUUUAUUAGGAGCGAACCUGAAAACCAAAAAAACCUGAUUUCUGAAAAUUCUGUGGAAUUUGCUCGUCUGUUCAAAAAUAAGUCCCCAAUCCUUAAAGAGAAGGGCGUUGUUUACCAAAAGGUAAGAACCACUCCCAAUCAGCUUUAUAAGGUCACAAGAGUAACCGAACAUCAAACAGCCGAACUCUCUGUAUUGGUGAAUGAAGAUAAUGCAGAUGGUUGUGAUGAGUUUUUCUGGUCUGCACCGAUAGUCAACGCAGACGAAAUAGUUGGUUUAUCGGAGCGAACAUCAUGGAAAGUCAAAGGUAGAUAUGUGGAAGAACCACUUACUAAACCUACCAACUUUGACGUGCCCAGUUCCAGUGGCACAAAAGAGGUUCCAGUAGAAUGCGUCUCCUCAACAAGCGAAACCUCUUCCAUGGAAAGUGAACCAGUUGUUCAGAAGCCGAAACAAAAGGCAAAUAUUCACAGACAACUGAAACAGGUGAAAAAUCAAAAGCAGCAGAGAAAUCUGAGAUACAAGAAAAAUCUCUUAGAGCGAAAGCAAUUUUGGCGCUCCCAAAAUCCUCACUAUACUCACUUUGAUAGAAACUUCAAGCCAAAAGGAAAAGAAAAUAAGAGUAAAAGGAGCUUCGGUCCAUUGGAUCAAAAGAACCAGAAGAAGACUUUCGGGCCACAGUAAGAACAAAACCGGAAAGAUAAGUUCGGUCCCGAAAGUAACAACAACCAAAAGCCUGGUUUCGGUCCACUAAACAACAACGGACAAAGAACAGAGUUCAGUCCAUCAAGCUUUUACAGCAGAAGACCCAGUUUCGGUCCAAAAACCCACAACAACCGAAAAGCCAGUUUCGGUCCAUCAACAAAUAGCAACCGAAGGUCCAGGUUCGGUCCCUCAAAUGAUCCCAACCGAAAGGGUCAUUUCGAACCUCAAGUCAGCAAAGAUUCUCAUUGUAAUUUCUAUUCCUCUAAUUCUUCUUGUUCUCAUCCUCCUUCUAAGCCUAAUUCUCGUCCUACACCAAGCUCACACUCGAAGAAAGAUUUGAAAGGAAAAAGUAAGAUUUCCUCAGCACAUGAAGACCGAAAGCAAGCUAAAGUUCAAACUCCCGAACCUGAAUUCAAAAUACCUGCAUCUGACUCCAAUAAAAUCAAAGUGUUUACUAUUAAGAGGAAAGAUGAAACAACCUUAAUAAAACGAACUUAUCUUGUUGAUGUUUCUCUUAUUAUUCAUGUUUCUGUAAAAAGCUCAUGAGGACCCAAGAGACUUUGGGUUCCUAAAUCUGCUUAAUUUUUGUAGGAUAUAAGUGACGAGCAGUUCGACGAAGAAUGGUACAUAGAUAGUGGCUGCUCGCGUCAUAUGACAGGAAGGAAGGAAGAGUUAAGGGAGUUUCGAUCCCUUCAAAAUGGUGGUAACGUCAAGUUUGGUAACAACUCCUAUGGAACGAUAAAGGAUUAUGGGAUGAUAACCAAUGGAGACUUUACAAUCAGGAAGGUGGCUUAUGUAGAGGGGUUGCAGCAGAACCUCAUCAGUGUGUCUCAACUGGUGGGAGGUACAGGUCUCAAAGUCUCGUUCGAUGACGAAGGUUCAGAGAUAAUAGAGAAGAAAUCCAACAAAGUUAUUCUCAAGUCAUAACGAAAAGGUGAAAUGUUCCCUCUGAAUCUCAACCCAACGAAAGUGAAUCCAACCAUAUGUCUAUUGUCCAAAGCACAUUCAGACGAAAGUUGGUUGUGGCACAGAAGGCUCUCACACCUCAACUUCAAAGACAUCAACAAGCUAGUCAUCGGUGGUCAUGUUCGGGGACUUCCACUGCUUAAGUUCGAUCGAGAACACUUAUGUGCUGCAUGUGAAAUGGGAAAACAAAGUCGCCAAAGUCACCCAACAAUCAUAAACACCAAAGUUGUUGAACCACUUGAGUUGCUUCACAUUGACUUAUGUGGUCCAUCAUCAAUCGAGAGCAUUGGCGGUAACAAGUACAUCCUUGUUAUUGUUGAUGACUUCUCACGAUUUACUUGGGUAUUCUUUCUAAAGCACAAAUCUGAGGCGACUCCCAAGCUGAAGAUCUUUAUCAAGCAGGUCGAAGUGCAACUAAGAAAAGUCGUUCGAAACAUCAGGAGCGACAAUGGACUGGAAUUCAAGAACAAAGAAUUCAAAGAUUUCUUAGCAGAAAAAGGCACCAGUCACAAUUUCUCAGCCCCCUAUACACCUCAACAGAACGGAAUUGUCGAAAGGAGAAACCGAUCCCUAUGUGAGGCGGCCCGAACCAUGCUGAUUUUUGCCUCCCUUCCUCUAUAUUUCUGGGCAGACGCCAUUGCUGCAACUUGUUUCACUCAAAACAGAUCUUAUCUCAACAAGCGUUUCUCUCUCACCCCCUAUGAGAUUAUUAACAAUAGGAAACCGAAUGUCAAGUUCAUUCAUGUGUUCGGCUCGAGAUGCUUCAUUUUCAACUCCAAAGAGCAUCACAACAAAUUCGAUGUCAAAGCCGGUGAAGGCAUCUUUCUGGGAUAUUCUCUUACUUCAAAGGCGUAUAGGGUUUUGAAUAAGCGUUCUAAACUAAUUGAAGAAACCUAUUAUGUAACGUUCAAUGACAAUUACGUCAAGAAUUUGAAGUCUACCGAAGAAGCAAUUGGAGAGAUUUUCUCUCAAACAGACAACAAGAUGGAUCACCUUAAGAAGAUUAUCGAAGACGCAGCCAAACAAAUGGGAGAAGAAGAACCAGUUCGAAACGAACCUCCUCAGAGCAAUACUUCGGUCGAGGGGGAGAAUCAAUUCUCUUCAGAUCGACAUGACUCACAUUUCCAGGGGGAAGGUCCAUCAUUUUCAAUCGACGAUAAUACUCAUGGCAAGGGGAAGAAUCUAAUCUUUGUCAGAACCGGAAGCCCAUCCAGAACCGAAAACCCGUUUGCACCCGAAAAUCCUGUAGCAACCGAAAGUCCAGAACAACCCGAAAGUCCUGUAGCAACCGAAAGUCUGGAUCAGCCCAAAAGCCCAGUCAAAGAAAGAUUUCUUGAUUCACAUCCAAAUGAUUCAUCAUCUGUCGAGGGGGAGAAUUCCAAUAUGCAUUAUGAUGAUGAAACUCAAUCAGAGUUGGAAGAAAUGGUAAAUGCUGAAUUGGAUCCAUCCUAUGAUCCAAAUUAUCCUCCUCUCACCAAAUGGACCAGAGAUCAUCCUGUAUCUCAAAUAGUGGGUGAUGCAUCAUAAAAGGUUCUAACUCGAUCACAACUGAAGGUGAAGCAAACUGCUCUAUUCUCCAAAGUAGAAUUAUGCAUGUUUAAUUCAUUCAUCUCCAAAAUAGAGCCGAAGACCGUCAAUAUUGCUCUCGAUCAUUCUGAUUGGGUUCAGGCAAUGCAAGACGAACUCAAUGAGUUCAAAAGAAAUAAGGUCUGGAGACUCAUUCCAACACCAAAAGAUGCCUCGGUUGUCGGUCUCAAAUGGGUGUUCAGAAACAAAAUGGACAAGGAGGGAAAUGUGAUCCGGAAUAAGGCUCGGAUAGUGGUGAAAGGAUAUUGCCAAGAAGAAGGAAUCGAUUACGAAGAGACAUUCGCUCCGGUUGCAAGGCUGGAAUCCAUUCAAAUAUUUCUUGCCUAUGCUGGACACAAGAAUUUCGAGGUCUACCAGAUGGAUGUGAAGUGUGCGUUUCUGAAUGGGGAACUUGAAGAAACCGUGUACGUGGAGCAACCUCCUAGUUUUGUAAAUGAAAAGCAUCCAAAUCACUGCUACAUCUUGGAUAAGGCAGUUUAUGGUCUGAAACAAGCACCUAGGGCAUGGUAUGAAACAUUAACUAAGUUUUUAAAGACGUCUAAAUUCAAACAAGGUUCGGUUGACCCAACCUUCUUUCGUAAAAAGGAAGGUAACUACCUUAUGAUCGUUCAAAUCUAUGUCGAUGAUAUUAUCUUCGGCUCCACGAAUCCUAGCCUAAUAGCUGAAUUCAGGAAGUUGAUGGAGACUAAAUUUGGAAUGAGCUCAAUGGGUCCAAUUAACUUUUUCCAUGGAUUAAAUAUUAGACAGGGACCCAAAGGCAUCUUUAUCAACCAGGAAGCAUACACUAAGACUCUCCUUAACAAAUUCGGCAUGAUCAGAGACUCAAAGGUAAAAGUCCCUAUGGCAUUCGGCACCAAGCUCGCACCAUCUUUGGAGAAACCAACAGUCGACAUAACGCUAUAUCGCCAAAUGAUUGGUUCCCUGAUGUACCUCACAACUAGCAGGCCUGAUAUAAUGUUCUCGAUAUGCUAUUGUGCCAGGUUUCAAGCAAAUCCUCGUGAACCACACAUGUUAGCAGUGAAGAAUAUAUUCCGGUAUUUAAAGCGAACCACCUCUCUCGGUCUCUAGUAUCCCUCAAACUCAGGUUUCUUCGUUCAAGCCUACUCAGAUGCAGACUUAGGAGGAUGUGGUCUAGACCAAAAAAGCACCACAGGAGGCUGCCAAUUCCUUGACGGGAAGUUGGUUAGCUGGCAAUCGAAGAAACAAACAUGUGUUUCCCUAUCUAUAGCCGAAGCAGAGUACAUUGCAGCCGCCUCCUACAUAUCACAAGUGAUUUGGAUCCAAAGCCAACUCUGAGAUUAUGGACUCCAUAUGAAAAAGAUCCCACUAUAUUGCGACUCAGAAAGUGCAACAUUCCAAGACCAAGCAUAUAGCACUGAGGUAUCACUUUAUUAAGGAUCAUGUGGAAGAUGGAAACAUCGAAAUUCACUUUGUUUGAAACACUGAUCAACUGGCCGACAUCUUCACCAAAGCCCUUCCUGAAGCAAGUUUCAAUAAAAUUCUACAAGGCCUAGGUAUGAUGGAAUCGGAGUCAGUACCAAAAACACCUUCUCAAAACCAAAAGUUGGAAGCAAAAUGAACCGAACACUCGGUCAACUUCGGGCUCGGUUCACACGGGAACCGAAAUGAACCGAACUCUCGGUCUAUUUCGGGUUCGGUCCCACUGCACUUAUUUUCACUUACCUCAAAAAGGUGAUAUCUUUGGUUGUAUACUUUUGUACAAUUGUUUGCCAACAUUCAAAAAUAAUUUUUUUUAUGGAACCGAAAUGAACUGAGCGUUCGGCCUAUUUAUGGUUCGGUUCAAAAAAAAUUUUGUUUGGUUUACUUUGUUUUUCUCUUUACAAAAAUAUCAAAAUACCAAAAAUAUUUUCUUUCCUUUGUCUCUACGUCUGUUUAUGUUAACAAUCUCUGGAAUAUCGAUGGGGCAGGUAUCAUUCACACACUUUAUACUAGCUAAGUAUCCCUAGAAGCAUGCUGUUGCAUGUUGUCCAAAGCCUCAACUGAUUUUAAAUAAAGCCUUAUUGACUGGGUAUAAACAAACCUCGUCUUCCCAAUUAGGCUGCUAAAUUUAUUCUAAUCAUGAGCUACCUUACUCUUUUCUCACAUGAGUUAAGAGUUUUCUUCUUGGUCAUUCUUUUAUAGCAGAGGUACUUUUGUUUCUUUACAACACCUCAAACACUUUUCUCCAUCAUAUUUCGGUUCAUAUUUGUAACCCUUGAGACUCUCAGAAAUAACCACUGAGGUUUAUGGUUACACAAUCUCUGUGUUAUGAUCUUAACUUCAUGUCACCACGUGCUAAGUGAAACCCAAAAUUCAAUACCCAUGGGUUACACUGAAAUCCUUACCACUGUCACGAAGUUCAAGAAGUCGUGUCUUCCUCCUCAAUGGAAUGGAUUUUUCACGAUAUUGUUCAAAGGUUUGUCUGAGAGGAGUGCAGGUUCUGAUGGGGCUAGUCGUUUGUUCAUGACGAUUCCUUAUGGGUUGUACAAUGGUAUCAACCUCGAUUAUGGCUUAGUUCUAUGGCAACAGUUGAUCCAAAGCCUCGCCUCUNAAUGGUAUCAACCUCGAUUAUGGCUCAGUUCUAUGGCAGCAGUUGAUCCAAAGCGUCGCCUCUACUUCUCGCCACACUGAAAUCUCCUAUGCCAGGUUCUGGACGCUCGUCACCAAAUGGGCAAUGGACAAGUAUCAUGUCCCCAUAGUGGCCACUUCUCCACUCUCCUCGAUUGGCGUCUUCCACACUACAAAGAUCAUAGUCACUGAUCCUUCCAAGUUUCUCUUUGUUGGCUCAAUUCCUGAGUCCAUGUAUGCUUGUGUAUCAGGGGAGAGCCACAUCAUCAAGACCUACAAGGAGUUUAUUCCUUCGGGUCCCAGAGAGCUGACUCCAUAGAUGCUUCAGUCCAUCAACGAUGCCGACAAACCUGCUCCCAGGGGCAAGAAAACAGAGAAAGGGAAAGACAAGAAAGUGGUCAAAGGGGCGAAAGGCCCUUCUCCUAAAAAGCGAAAACCAACAAAGGCAGCCCAAUCACCUCCACCGAAGAAGAGGAAAACCCAGCCUAAACGAAAACUCAUUCUUGCUUCUUCCUCAAGUGAAUCAGAGGAUGAAAGUUCAGACUCAGAGGAGUCAUUUCGAGGCGACUCUCCUCCCCGUUCGCCUUCACAUGAGGUACCAGUUACAACCAAACCUGUCUCUUCUCCCCUAUCACUAUCUCUAUUUCCAUUCCUCCCAUAACUUCCUCCACUCAAAUUACACCCACUUCUAUUCCUGUACCACCUCCCAUUUUCUCAGACGCUACAAAAACAACAACUACUGGAGUUCGAACCAACGUAUCUGAUACGGGGGCUCAUACUUCAGCACCCGAACACACACCAACAAACGAACAUACUUCCGCACCCGAACCUACUCCCAUAACCAAACCUCCACCAUCGCCUUCAUCUCCCAAUCACUCAGCCGAAAUCGAGACAAUUCUAGGAGGGAAGAUAUGAUCUUCGAUUCUGUUUACUACAGUCCCUACCAGGUUGAAAGCAAUUAUGAUGAUGAUGCACCUGUCACCAAAAAGCACAUCAAGGAACUUCAUGAGAAAAUUGAUAAUCUCAUCGCUUCUUCCUCCUCCUCUCGGUCCCAUAUCACAAAAGCUGCCAUUCAGGGGAUGGUUGAUACUUUCACCAAGGCACACGAAGCCUCCAUCAACUCUGCUACUGUUGCUAUAGAUGCAUCCACAAAGGCCUGUACUGCUGCGACGAAAAAAGUCGAAAAACUAUUUCGCGAUGCUAACACCUUUUUGGAGGCUUUACAGGGGGCAGCUGAAUCUAAUGCAGUGAAGAUUGAUUCGGUUGUUGAGAAGCUUGCUACUUCCUUGGAAACAGAAAAGCAUCACUUUGCCAGUCUUCGUUUGUGACAACCUGAUAUUUCAACUCUUUGUAACGACCAAAAUGGGUCGAGUAUUGUAACCACUUCCGAAUAAUAAAAAGUUACUUUCAUAAUAAAAUGUACAAAUAAGUUCUACUUAAUUAUCUUCUAUGAUUAAAUGUCUUUGAACCAUGAUCGUACGUGAAAAGAACGCCCAAAUCCGACUUCAUAUAGCGAAGUUAUGAUUUUUCCAAGUUCGGCUUAGCAACAGACAGCUAAAAAACUCGAAUCGGUAAUCGAGCGACUUUUGGCCGGAAUGACUAAACGAGAAUCGAAGGUCUCGACAAUGGUAUUCCAGCGGUAAAAAGUCUGGCAAAAACCGACAUCAGAUAAAGAAGUUAUGAAUUUUCUAAGAAAUUCCUUAAACACGAUGGAUUUUUAAUAAAUAAUAAAAAAAUAAUUUUGGAAUUUGCCGACGGAGUCUAAACGAAAGUUGUAGAGCGUAGUCUCACCUACGCGAGGAUAUAAAGACCAUCGAAAACGGAGUUCGUAUGAAGAAGAUAUGAAUUUUUGAAGUUUAUUAAAUAAAUUAAUUAUUUAUUUAAUUCAAAAUUCGGAUAUUAUCCGAAGGGGAGUCAGCAUCCUCCUUCGAAGUACGCGCUGCGUACUCCUAUACGCCCCGCGUAACCGAGAGGAUUGGCCUCUAAUCGUCCACGUCGCACUAUCCGAAGAGACCGACCCAUCCGACCCGUCUGACCCGUCCGACCCGACGUCCCAUCCGACCCGGCGUCCCAUCCGACCCGCGUACCCAGCAACCCGUCCCAUCCGAACCGAGGCAGUCGAGGCUUCGGUCAUGCAUGACGUACGCGUACGCGCUGCGUACGAGCGUACGCCCCGCGUACCGAGGCAGACCAGCCUUACUAUAAAUAGGAUGCGAGGGUUUCCAAAGAAAGGGUUCAUUUCUCUUCUCUCUCUCUCAACUUUGCCUCGUUUUCCGUGUCCGUUCAAACCCGAAGCUCUGGUCUUUUUGGCUCAAGUCCCGAAGGUCGAUUUUACUCCCGAGAUUCCCGAGAAUCCCGAGGAAAAUCCGUUUCCCGAGACGAAACUCUGCCCGGUUUUCCAUCUCGCUAUCUCCAAAACUUUCAAGUGAGUUUCAUACCCCUUAAUCAACCUUUUUAAUUAUUCUAAAUACUUUUAUAUGCUUUCAAGGGGGGGAUUACAAGUAAAACACACGAGUAUUAUCGUGUGUUACAUAAAGAAACUCUUUUAUAUACUGUUAUAUAUUCAAAUCACAUGCGAUUUAUAAACAUUUAAAGGAACUUUUAUAUAUAUAUAACAUAUGUCACAAUAGCAUUUUACCUUUUAAAAUAUAAUGUUGUUGUAAUGCAUGUAUAAACUAAACUGUUCUUAGAUUUUUCUUGUCUAUCCUAGACUCUACACCAAAAAUCUAUACUUUCAUAAACAAGUGAUUCCUUUUCUCAAUAUUUCUAAACAAACAAGACACGCUUUUUGGAAACUAUAAUAGGUAUAGUUUUACGAACAGAUUUCUAACUCUUAUGUACUAGAAACACAUAUUUCAAGAAGUUUACUUUCGUAUACAAGAACAAACGUAACAUUUUAACAAGUAGAUCUGUUUUUAUACCACGGAUUUGUGAGACACUAACUUCAUGUACGUUCGAGUACACAUUUCAAGUCCUGUAUUAUAUACCAGAAUCCCUUGGAGGGGGAGCAUGGUGUUUGUGUAUAGAUCUAUACGGGCUUGACAACCCGCGCCCUGACUGUUAGCUGCAGUCCACCGUUUGGGGUGACAAACGUCAUAACAUUCCAACGCCUGAAGAACGUUGUGUAUAGGCAUUCAGAGUCAAUAGUAUGGUUAUAAAACUCACAAGGGGUAUUAAAAAUGCAUUGAUUUACAAGGUUUUCAAACUCAUUGGUUAUUUUACAUUUACAUACAUUUUGGAAACAAACAUUGGUCUUGAGUGAAGGCUACUUUUAUACUAGUAGAAAAUAUAGGAUUUUCUAAACACAAACAAACAAAGAUAAAACAUUUCAUUUCAUUCAAACAUUGUCACUUAAAUACUUAUGAAAUUCACCAGCUUAAAUGCUGAUCUACUCUUUCAAAAUUACUUGUAUGUCCCAGGAAAUCAGUAAUUUCAGGUAUUCAUUUCGCUUUUGAUGAAGGGAUGCUGCGGCGCCAGUUUAAUCUCGUAUUUUGACAUCAUAUUGUAAUUGAGUUUUGAACAUGUAACUUUUGACAAAUGUAAACUUUCAAUUAUAUAUAUGAUGGUUGUAUUGCUUUCUUUACUAUGUAUUCAUUUGUUACGUUACCACAUGAAGUCAUCCGCCCCCGAACGUUUCCGCCGUUCAGGUUUGGGGGUGUGACAGAUUGGUAUCAGAGCAAUGUUUAUAGUGAACUAAGUAUAUCGAACCACAUAAGAUAUACAAACUAUAAAUGCUUAAGGGACUAAUACUCUCUGACAAAACAAAUUUUCUUUUUACACUUAAGCAGCAUUUCGUUCAACUUAAAUUGAUAGUUCAUUUAAGUACAAUUACAUGCAUACCACAAACUAUUUUCAUGUUAUACAACUAUACAAGUAUUUAGACAAGUUGACACUACGAUUGAGACUCGAUAUAUGUAAUCAGAUUUUGGACAAAUAUAGCGUGAUCAACUAUAUUUGCCCAAGAUUGGACCAACGUAUAUCGAGGAAUGAUCGUAGUAAGCAACAAGUCAAAACUUACCAAACCAUUACAAGAAUCAAACACAAGAAUUUAAAUACUAUAGGAGUAUUUGCUAUCUAAACUAGUUUAACUUACAUGUUUUACAUGUUCCGACUUUAUUCAAUUCUUAUAACCCUAUUUCUCGUACAGUCAAAUGGCUGGAUUUCACCACCCUGGCGACCCCUACUUUCCCAACCAAGGCAACGGAGGAUGGAUCGAAGAUGAUCCCGAAGAGGACGAGGAACCCAUAGAAGUGGGUGAUGACUCCGGUACCGACUCAGAGCCGGAAGUUAUCGAUCCACCACCCAUUCAACCUCCCGUCUUCGUAAGGAACUUUCAAGGACCGACUCCCGUCUGGGGAAGUCACCUCCACCAUUGGAGCCAACAGCAAAACCUACGCCCUCCCUACGGCAUGUGCCGGGACUUCUAUGAUGUCCGCGGCGGAGGUUCGGCUGAUCGAGCACUCCCGGUAAUGGUGGGUAAGUUAGCCAAUCAGUCCUAUCAGUCUGGAGUACAAGCUAGUCGACUCCGGGAUAUCAACGUGGAAGUGCAGGUUCACACUUCUGACAUCCGUAGGCUGGACAAGAUGCAAGACAACGCUCAAUUCCAAACCGAAGCGUUUCAAGCGCAAAUGAUUGCAGCCCUCGCCGAACUAAGGGAACAACAAGCCGCUUUCGAUAGGCGUCUAAUGGAGUCAAAGCAAUCAGAUACGGAGUCAAGCUCCAAGCGCAACCUUCGACGCAAGUAGUGCUUGUCAAGGACUCAAAUUUUGUUAUAGCUUAGGACCUCGGCUAAAAGUCUUUAAAUUUCUCGAACUUUGUAAUCGGAGACCCUUAUAGGGGUCAAAUUUUCAUGAUCGUUGUAACAACUUUUAUAUUAAUAUAAGUGGCACUAUUACUACUAUGUUGAGUAUUUCGUUCGAACCUUGAAUGGUCUUUGUGAACCCAAAUACUUGUUUCAUACCUUCAGUCUUACAAAUAACUUUCAUUCUUCUAUUUUAAGACUCAUACUAUCAUCUGUUGUUGAACUAUAGCGAUUUAGUUCAUGAGACACAUACAUUUUCCAUUCUAUGAAAUUCUUAUCCUUGUCUUUUCAAUCUAUAGUUGAAGGAUGCCUCCGCGUAGGAAUCCAAGGCGAAACAACGGUGAGGAAGCACCUAUACCACCACCACCUCCACCACCCCAAUUUGAUGCUGUAAUGUUUCAAGCAGCAGUCACCGCAGCGGUGGCAGCUGCCAUGUCACAGAUCAAUAACUCGAGUACUAAUGGCUCGGGAUCUGGCACACACCUAUCCAACCAUGGCGAGAGUCAUGGACCACCUCGAGAAUGCACCUAUAAGGACUUCACUAAUGCCAAGCCCCGGAUGUUUUAUGGUACUGGUGGUGUGAUGGCCCUGAGGCAGUGGAUUGAAAGGACGGAGGCAGUCUUUGAAAUCUGCUCCUGCCCCGAGCACAGCAAGGUCAAAUUUGCAACUUUCACCCUUCUCGAUAAAGCUUUAACUUGGUGGAAUGGCCACGUUAAAGUACUUACCCUAAUCGUGGCAAACUCCAUAAGCUGGGAGAGCUUGAAGGCCAUGAUGAUGAGAGAAUACUGCCCACGGGGAGAAAUUCAAAAGCUUGAACACGAGCUAUGGACUCUCGGAAUGGUGGGUACCGACAUCGCUACUUAUACCAACAGAUUCUGCGAACUGGCAAUCCUUUGUCCAGAUAUGAUUGCUCCCGAGAGCAAGAAGAUAGAAAGGUACAUCUGGGGACUGACGCCCCAAAUGCGAUCAAGCGUGUUAGCUUCUAAACCUGACACCUUUGAAAGUGCUAAGGAACUGGCACAAUCUCUGAUCGACUACGGAGGUCAUCAGAACUCAACCACUUCUGCACCAGCACCACAGAAAGGAAACAACAACAACAACAACAACAACAACAACAACAACAAUGGCAGGAAGAGAGCGUGGAUUAAAGGGAAGGGUGGGUCUUCCCAAGAAUCCGCAAAGAAACAACUGGUGUCAGUAAAUGCUGCCAUUGUACCUGCUACAGCCCCUACAAAUACCUACCCAACAAAGCCUUAUAUAGGCAACCUCCCAAAAUGCACCAAAUGCAAUUACCACCACCAUGGACCUUGUCGAGAUAUGCAGUGCGCCAACUGCAGCAGGAAAGGACACACAGCCCGUUUCUGCAAGGAACCCGCAAAGCCGAUCACUCAAGUUCCCGGUGCGGGUGUAGGGCAGGCUUGCUACGGUUGUGGCGAGGUGGGCCACUACAAGAGAAACUGUCCUAAGGCAGCAGGCACCGGAGGUGUGGGACGAGUUUUGGCAAUAGGCCACGACGAAGCUGUAGCUGACCCAACUAUAGUUGCUGGUACGUUCCUUCUCGAUAAUUCAUACGCAUGCAUAUUAUUCGAUAGUGGAGCGGAGAGAAGCUUCGUGAGUCAAAACUUUAUUCAUUUACUUAAACCUAAACCUAGCAAGUUAGAAAAAUCAUUCACUGUAGAGAUGGCCAAUGGAAAAACCGAAAACACAAAUUGCAUAUACAUGGGCUGUACGUUAACAUUAGACGGCCAUUCUUUCCCAAUCAAUCUCAUGCCGGUUCAAAUUAAAAGUUUCGACGUCAUAGUCGGCAUGGAUUGGUUGAGUCUUCUUCGCGCCGACAUCAUGUGCUUUGAGAAAGCAGUCCGUCUUAACCUCCCUAACAACGAAACAUUAGUUAUCUACGGCGACAAAUCUAGUGCAAACCUUCGCAUCAUUUCGUGCAUCCAAGCUCGAAAGUGCUUGCGGAAGGAUUGUCGAGCAUUCCUAGCGCACAUCGUCGAUACAAGUCAAGAACUGAAGGACAUCAAGAGCAUCUCGGUAGUACGCGACUUUCCCGAUAUCUUUCCAGAAGAACUACCAGGAUUACCACCGCAACGCCAAGUCGAGUUCAGAAUCGACUUAAUUCCAGGAGCUACCCCAGUAGCGAAGUCGCCUUAUCGUCUUGCACCAGCAGAGAUGCAGGAACUUUCCAGUCAACUUAAUGAACUCCUUCACAAAGGAUUCAUAAGACCAAGUUUCUCACCUUGGGGAGCACCGGUCUUGUUUGUAAAGAAGAAAGACGGAUCGUUCCGUAUGUGCAUCGACUACAGAGAGCUGAACAAACUUACUGUCAAGAACCGCUAUCCUCUACCCCGUAUCGACGACCUAUUCGAUCAACUUCAAGGGGCGAACUACUUCUCCAAAAUAGACCUGCGAUCCGGAUAUCACCAAUUACGAGUUCUAGAGGGGGACAUUCCAAAGACAGCCUUCCGAACUCGUUAUGGACACUACGAAUUCGUGGUGAUGCCGUUCGGAUUAACCAAUGCACCAGCAGUAUUUAUGGACCUAAUGAAUAGGGUAUGCCGCCCUUACUUGGAUCAGUUCGUCAUCGUCUUUAUCGAUGAUAUACUUAUCUACUCUCGAAGUGAGGAAGAGCAUAGUCAACACCUACGAAAAGUCCUAGAAACACUGCGAACGGAGAAACUCUAUGCGAAGUUCUCUAAAUGCGAAUUUUGGAUUCGAAGAGUCGAAUUUUUAGGUCACGUUGUUAGCGAGAAAGGUAUACACGUGGACCCCUCCAAAAUUAAGGCUAUUGAGAACUGGUCGGCACCAAAGACACCUACAGAAAUUCGUCAAUUUCUAGGUCUAGCUGGCUACUAUCGCAGAUUCAUAAAGAACUUUUCGAGCAUUGCGAAACCUCUUACUUCAUUAACCCAGAAAGGUGUGGCCUUUGACUGGGAAGCGAAACAAGAGAAGGCAUUCCAGACACUAAAGCAGGCCUUGUGCACCGCACCGAUACUAUCCCUCCCCGAAGGGAUAGAAGACUUCGUAGUGUAUUGCGAUGCUUCAAAUCAAGGACUUGGUUGUGUUCUUAUGCAGAGAGGGAAGGUUAUCGCUUAUGCCUCCCGACAGCUUAAGACACACGAAGUGAACUAUACGACACACGACCUCGAGUUAGGAGCAGUGGUAUUUGCUCUGAAGAUCUGGAGGCACUACUUAUACGGAACAAAGAGUACUAUAUUCACCGAUCACAAGAGCCUUCAACACAUUUUCGAUCAGAAGGAACUCAACAUGCGACAACGACGAUGGGUUGAGUUACUGAAUGACUACGAAUGCGAAAUUCGUUAUCAUCCUGGCAAGGCCAACGUAGUAGCCGACGCCCUCAGUCGAAAGGAAUACACUGGUCGGAGGGUCAAAUCUCUGACCAUGACUAUCCAUUCCCACUUAUCCACACAAAUUAAGGAAGCACAAAUGGAAGCUUUGCAACCUGAAAAUGUGGCGGGUGAAUCCCUGCGAGGAAUGGAGAAGAAUUUAGAAGUCAAGGGUGGCGGAGCCUACUAUCUCAUGGACCGAAUCUGGACCCCAAAUCAUGGUGGUUUCAGAAACGUAGUCAUGACCGAGGCUCACAACUCAAGAUAUUCCGUUCACCCGGGUUCAGAUAAAAUGUAUCUGGAUCUUAAGAAACUGUACUGGUGGCCUAACAUGAAAGCAGAAAUUGCUACCUUCGUGAGUAAAUGUCUUACUUGCGCUAAGGUUAAGGUCGAGUAUCAGAAACCGUCAGGACUACUACAACAACCAGAGAUACCGGAAUGGAAAUGGGAGCGGAUUACUAUGGACUUCAUAACCAAGUUACCCAAGACGACAAGUGGACUCGAUACCAUAUGGGUCAUUGUCGACAGAUUGACCAAAUCCGCACAUUUCCUACCCAUCAAGGAGACUGACAAAAUGGAGAAGCUUACAAGAACUUACUUAAGGGAAGUAGUGCGACUGCAUGGUGUUCCGAUAUCCAUUAUCUCCGAUCGAGAUAGUAGAUUCACUUCAAGAUUCUGGCAGUCACUACAAAGUUCCCUGGGAACUAGGCUAGACAUGAGUACAGCCUACCACCCACAGACAGACGGACAAAGUGAGAGAACAAUACAAACUUUAGAAGACAUGCUGAGAGCCUGCGUGAUUGACUUUGGAAAGGCAUGGGAUAUUCAUUUACCCCUUGUCGAAUUUUCAUACAACAAUAGUUAUCAUACAAGCAUAAAGGCUGCUCCGUUUGAAGCCCUCUAUGGUCGAAAGUGCAGAUCCCCUCUGUGCUGGACUGAAGUUGGCGAUACCCAGUUAGCUAGAGGAAGAGUUCCUGAAAGCACUCUCACCGGUCCGGAGAUCAUACGUGAAACAACAGAGAAGAUCGUUCAGAUUCGUGAACGAUUGAAAGCCUCAAGAGACCGACAGAAAAGCUACGCUGACCAAAGGAGGAAACCUUUGGAAUUCCAGGUAGGAGACCACGUCUUAUUAAAGGUCUCACCGUGGAAGGGUUUAAUACGAUUUGGAAAGCGUGGGAAACUAAAUCCAAGAUACAUAGGGCCUUUCGAGAUUCUUGCCAGAAUCGGCCCUGUGGCUUACAAGCUUAACCUACCGCGCGAACUUAGUAACAUCCAUCCAACCUUCCACGUCUCAAACUUGAAAAAGUGUCUGUCCGACGAGACUCUUGUUAUUCCACUCGACGAGAUCGAGAUCAACGAGAGCCUCAACUUUGUGGAAGAACCAGUAGAAAUCAUGGACCGAGAGGUCAAACAAACAAAACAAAGUCGCAUACCCAUCGUGAAGGUUCGCUGGAACGCCAAGCGGGGACCCGAAUUCACAUGGGAACGCGAAGAUCAGAUGAAACAAAAGUACCCUCAUCUCUUUCAUGUUCACUAGUAUCUUUACUACUUUAAAUUUCGGGACGAAAUUCUCUCUAACGGGGGGAUGAUGUGACAACCCGAUAUUUCAACUCUUUGUAACGACCAAAAUGGGUCAAGUAUUGUAACCACUUCUGAAUAAUAAAAAGUUACUUUCAUAAUAAAAUGUAUAAAUAAGUUCUACUUAAUUUCCUUCUAUGAUUAAAUGUCUUUGAACCAUGAUCGUACGUGAAAAGAACGCCCAAAUCCGACUUCAUAUAGCGAAGUUAUGAUUUUUCCAAGUUCGGCUUAGCAACAGACAGCUAAAAACUCGAAUCGGAGAUCGAGCGACUUUUGGCCGGAAUGACCUAAACGAGAAUCGAAGGUCUCGACAAUGGUAUUCCAGCGGUAAAAAGUCUGGCAAAAACCGACAUCAGAUAAAGAAGUUAUGAAUUUUCAAAGAAAUUCCUUAAACACGAUGGGUUUUUAAUAAAUAAUAAAAAUAUAAUUUUGGAAUUUGCCGACGGAGUCUAAACGAAAGUUGUAGAGCGUAGUCUCACCUACGCGAGGAUAUAAAGACCAUCGAAAACGGAGUUCGUAUGAAGAAGAUAUGAAUUUUUGAAGUUUAUUAAAUAAAUUAAUUAUUUAUUUAAUUCAAAAUUCGGAUAUUAUCCGAAGGGGAGUCAGCAUCCUCCUCCGAGGUACGCGCUGCGUACCCCUGUACGCCCCGCGUAACCGAGAGGAUUGGCCUCUGAUCGUCCACGUCGCGCUAUCCGAAGAAACCGACCCAUCCGACCCGUCCGAAGCCCCGACCCGUCCGACCCGACGUCCCAUCCGACCCGGCGUCCCAUCCGACCCGCGUACCCAGCAACCCGUCCCAUCCGAACCGAGGCAGUCGAGGCUUCGGUCAUGCAUGACGUACGCGUACGCGCUGCGUACGAGCGUACGCCCCGCGUACCGAGGCAGACCAGCCUUACUAUAAAUAGGAUGCGAGGGUUUCCAAAGAAAGGGUUCAUUUCUCUUCUCUCUCUCUCAACUUUGCCUCGUUUUCCGUGUCCGUUCAAACCCGAAGCUCUGGUCUUUUUGGCUCAAGUCCCGAAGGUCGAUUUUACUCCCGAGAUUCCCGAGAAUCCCGAGGAAAAUCCGUUUCCCGAGACGAAACUCUGCCCGGUUUUCCAUCUCGCUAUCUCCAAAACUUUCAAGUGAGUUUCAUACCCCUUAAUCAACCUUUUUAAUUAUUCUAAAUACUUUUAUAUGCUUUCAAGGGGGGGAUUACAAGUAAAACACACGAGUAUUAUCGUGUGUUACAUAAAGAAACUCUUUUAUAUACUGUUAUAUAUUCAAAUCACAUGCGAUUUAUAAACAUUUAAAGGAACUUUUAUAUAUAUAUAACAUAUGUCACAAUAGCAUUUUACCUUUUAAAAUAUAAUGUUGUUGUAAUGCAUGUAUAAACUAAACUGUUCUUAGAUUUUUCUUGUCUAUCCUAGACUCUACACCAAAAAUCUAUACUUUCAUAAACAAGUGAUUCCUUUUCUCAAUAUUUCUAAACAAACAAGACACGCUUUUUGGAAACUAUAAUAGGUAUAGUUUUACGAACAGAUUUCUAACUCUUAUGUACUAGAAACACAUAUUUCAAGAAGUUUACUUUCGUAUACAAGAACAAACGUAACAUUUUAACAAGUAGAUCUGUUUUUAUACCACGGUUUUGUGAGACACUAACUUCAUGUACGUUCGAGUACACAUUUCAAGUCCUGUAUUAUAUACCAGAAUCCCUUGGAGGGGGAGCAUGGUGUUUGUGUAUAGAUCUAUACGGGCUUGACAACCCGCGCCCUGACUGUUAGCUACAGUCCACCGUUUGGGGUGACAAACGUCAUAACAUUCCAACGCCUGAAGAACGUUGUGUAUAGGCAUUCAGAGUCAAUAGUAUGGUUAUAAAACUCACAAGGGGUAUUAAAAAUGCAUUGAUUUACAAGGUUUUCAAACUCAUUGGUUAUUUUACAUUUACAUACAUUUUGGAAACAAACAUUGGUCUUGAGUGAAGGCUACUUUUAUACUAGUAGAAAAUAUAGGAUUUUCUAAACACAAACAAACAAAGAUAAAACAUUUCAUUUCAUUCAAACAUUGUCACUUGAAUACUUAUGAAAUUCACCAACUUAAAUGCUGAUCUACUCUUUCAAAAUUACUUGUAUGUCCCAGGGAUUCAGUAAUUUCAGGUACUAAUAUGCUUUUGACGAAGAGAUGCUGCGGCGCCAGUUUAAUCUCAUAUUUUGACAUCAUAUUUUAAUUGGUUUUGAACAUGUAACUUUUGACAAAUGUAAACUUUCAAUUAUAUAUAUGAUGGUUGUAUUGCUUUCUUUACUAUGUAUUCAUUGUUACGUUACNUCCGCCCCCGAAUGUUUCCGCCGUUCAGGUUUGGGGGUGUGACAUCGUUAGACCCUUGAAGCUGACAACAAAUCCUUCCAGGCAGCCGUUGAGGAUCGCUUGACCAAGCUCCAAGAAGACCUUGCCUCGGAAAACUCGGUGAUGGAUACACUUGCACGCAAAACAACUGCUCUAAAAAUCAAGAGUCUUCAGCUUUCCCAAACUAAGAAGGAGGUUAAUUCUCUUCGAUCCCAGCGAGCUGUGAUUUCGAGUUGUGUUUCAGAUGUCCACGGAGCCCUCUCAAACAUCAUUGAAGCGCAUGACCUGAUUGUCAACUACUCAGUGAGGCGAACUCUUGCUGGGAAACUUGCUCCUGCCCUUUCCUUGUUCAGCAAAAUUGAGGGGCUUCCUGAGCAAGUGGUCCAUCCAAAACAAGGGGCAGAAGGAGCUUCAAAGGGCAGUAAUCAAUCUCAACCGCCUCCUACUUCUUCAUCAGCUCCAACUAAAGCAACCGAUCCACCAACAACUGGUCAUGCUUUAGGUUCGGGUGCUCAAGACAAAGGCAAAAAGAUUCUCGAUGACAGUGAUGGAGACGAUGACAAAGAAACCAUUGCUGAUAUCUUGAAGAAAUAGGCAAGGGACAAGGAACCAGACGUGAGUGCUUGGAUCGCUAGGGAAGCCGAGGCAAAUGAAAGGAGGAUGAAGGAGGCUCAUGAUCUCCUUGAAAGUCGAAAAACCCUAUUCUUUCCAUGGACUCUUGAGAAGCUUAUCAAAGAAGCUAUCGAGUCCCCCAGCAUCCUCUGGCUUGAACCUGUGAUCUCUUUGGAUAGGGUUAACUCUUUUGACUCUCAGUUUGACAUGCCCUUGACCCGAAAGGCCUUUAUAUUUCAUGCAUUUCCCCACAUUGCUGAAGUCCCUCAUCCUCACCCGAAGGUCGAUAGGGAACUUAUUGAUUUUUAUCUGAGGUUUGCUCAGCCUCAGUAUCAGACGUGGAGUGCACAGAAGAUCGUCAACAUUCGGGUCAUCAAACCCUUUCGGGGGUCAGAUAAAGCCGAACAUGCCAUUACUCUCGCUAAUCUUCCUAACCUGAAUCGUCACAAUUGGAUCAUCCUGCAUAAUAUCCUCCUCACCAAUGAAGCUAAAUAUGGGCCGAUCAUAGAUCACUUCAAGAGGAUGUUGGUUUGUUAUAUCAUGGAGGUUGCUAAGAUGGAUCAAGAAAUUGCUAAUGUAUUCAGGAAGAAGCCCACCAUCUCCCCAGUCGGUUCUGCAAGUGAUUUGAAUAAAAUGCAGAUAGGGAGGAUCGAUCCAAAGCGAAAAUCAGUUAUGUCCACCAGGAAUGAAGGACAAAAAUGUCUGUUCGCCUUGGCUGACAAACAUCUUUAUACCAUUUCGUGUCUGGAGCAUGUUCUGGGGAUCAUCAAUCGGUGUAAGCAAAAUUCUGAAGAUGAUAAGAAGUACUUCAAUGACAUGAUCAACUGGUAUAUUCAUUUCAGACAAACUAUUCUUGCCAUCAUUCCUUGCCUGUUUGAUACCACGAAGAAGGUUAAUGCAGUAGGAUCUAGUAAGCCAAAGUAGAGUCUCGCCCCAAUUGACGCAAAGGGGGAGAUUGUAAGGUCCGUUAUGUGUUGCGUCUUGGGCUCGGUCCUUAGUCCAAUUUUGUAUCCGGAUUGGGCCUGUCCAUCCGUGAUUUAAUUAUUAGGGUUUAGUAUUUAUAGAUGAUUGCAUGCAUCUUUGUAAAUAGCUGUUUUAAUCGAUCAUUCAUAGUGAUCACGGUUUUAUCGAUUAAAACCCUAAAAGCCUCUACAGUGGAAGUUCUUUAUCGAGCUCUGCUAAUGCGUGAAUCUAUUGAACCAUUUAGCUCAUUAUUGAUUCAUUCUCUUGUUUGUUAUUCUAUUUGCAUUAUUCUGAUUAACCUGUGUGAGAUCUAAACGAUCAAAGAGUUUUUCAACUCAUCACUCAGCAAGCUUUGGAGUUGACUUAAUGUGGUUUCCUCCUUGUCUAGAUGAUAAGUCAUAAUGAACUAAUCAUAACAACUAUGCAAUGAGUGCAAGACUAUGUCAAUAGCCAAUUCAACAGAUGAUCCAUGUAACGUUGCAUGCGUUGCAAGUGGGUCGUGACAGACUCUCCAUCCUUCAUCUUGCUUGUUAUGAGGGACUUGACUAUGUCGUAUCUCUCUUAACGAGCUCGUUGAUGGAACUUUUCCAUCAAGUCCUUGUUCAUAUCAUAUGGCCAAUAGUCCUCAUAGAACCUUUGUAGCUCAAGAGCCAUAGUAGCCACCAUGAUGCAUGACACUUUGGUUGCAUCAUUGCAAUGUCACCUAUACUCAACUAUCUCUUUAGGAGUAGAUUUUGUUUCAUCAAUCUCGUUCAACUCGUUUUCGAGAACAUAUUCCUUGUGCUCGAAGUGUAAAGUCGUCUUGAUGUUGUGUAUCCAAUCAUUUUAAUUAGUACCAUCAAAAGUGACUUUUGAUGAGAUGCUUAAGAGCGAGAAGUGGUUGGAGUUGUUGUUGGAGGAACCAGAAGCGUUGUUGAAAGUUAACAUCUGAAAAGGAAAAAGGACAAGUUUUGAUUAGAUAAGGAAAUCCUUAAUAUAACACCAAAAUGAAAUAUUAAGGCUAUGACCCAACUAAAUAAUUCACAAUUAAGAAGAGGUAUGUCAUAAUCUAAUUGCAAAUUAUUUAAAGGUUGGUAAUGGUUUACCAAUUUGACCACGAAAAAUGAAAUUUAAACGAAUUAGGUUUUAAAUGAAAUUCCUAGAUCUUUUGAGAUUCAUUGAACUAUUCAAUGACAUGUUUAAUAUCGAUUAUGCCCUUUCCAUUUGUGAUUGGGAUAUCGAGGAUCACAAACAAGGUGUUAAUAACCAUGCAAAUUAGCUCGGUACUCUCAAUGUCAUUUAUCACCUAAUUAAUAUGUCGGUUAACCACACACACUCCAUUAAUCAAUGAUAAUUUACAGGACACCCAUUGCCACCCUUUAUAAGUCCAUAUUAGUGUGUAGGUUAACCAUACACGCUCCACUGAUGACUUUUAUAAAGUGCAAUGUGCAAUUUCAUGGAUUAGCAUCAAAUUCACCUUUUCCUAAAGUAACUAGGAUUGAGAAUUUAAUAAAAACUUUUAGUUACUUUAUUUAUUCCAUUAUACUUAUUAAUGAGAAUUAAGUGUCCUAUAAAACCCAUUCGUCUAACGACCCUCCACCAAUCAAGGAAGCGGUGGGUUAGAGUGGACACCCAUUCAACUGCCAUAUUAUAGACAAUUUCAUUAUGCCCCCUUAUAGAUUGGCUUUGUGAAUGAGACGUACUAGCGGUUUAACUGACUUGUCUUAUACGUAUAGUAAAUAUUUAAACUUUUAAUAUUGCAUAUAGUAUAAUGAUGUAUUUUAGACAUUUCAAAAUACUAGGGUUUUAAAUCUAUUCAAAAUUUCGAAAAUUAAAAAAAAAUUUAAUGUAAUUUUAAAUUUUAAAUUUUUGAUUUAAUAAUUAUCUAUUAAUUUAACCAUUAAUUAAUUUAUUAAAUCAAAUAAAGAUUAUUCAUUAAAUUAAAUAAAUUAAUUUAACCUAAUUCCUUACUCCCUAGAUUUCGAAAAUUUUGGGUGGGAUGCACCAAAAUCUUUAAUUAUCUAAUUAAGUAAUUAACAAAAUAAUUACGAAAAAUAACAACCCACCCAAGAAACCCUAAUUUCGAAAUCCAUGACUUAAGGUGGAAGGAAAGGCUUUCAGUCAUUGCCUUAUUUUUGAAAACCUCAGGGUUAGGAAACCCUGGAUCUCGAAAAUUAUGAGGCCAAAGAAAAGGGUUUUAAAUCCCUUAGCAAAUUUCGAAAAAUGGGGUUAUGAAACCCUGAUUUGCAAAAAAUCCAUGGCCUAGGGUUUAAUUUCCAUAAAUCAUAAUUUUGUCAAAUUCAAUCAAUUACAUCAAAUCUAAUUGAAAACAAAACCAAUAGCUCUGAUAUCAAUGAUGAUUUUUGAGAAUUUAAACAAUCCUAUGUGUGCAUGCAACCUUAAAUAAUUGGAUCUAUGUUUUCUCUAUUAGACAUAGAAACAUAAACACAAAAACAAGAAACCCUAACAUGCUUCUAGUAUUUUCGAAUUUAAAAAAAUGUGGAUUAGAAAACAUACCUUAUUGUUAUAUUUUAAUAACAAUGGGUUCAUUGAAGAUCUUGAACUUUGAGAUCAAGUGUCACAAGUGUGACACCUCUAAUGGAUCACAAACACACCAAGCAAGAGGAUGAGAGGAGAGAGGAGGGAAGUUACUCAAAGUUUCAGAUCUUCUAGGGUUUCCCAGUGAUAGCCGAAACUUAUAGGGGUGAGACUCAUUUUAUAUUUUAGGUUGCUUAGUCCCAAAGCUUGGGUUUGAUGGUGGAAACCCUAAUUUCCAGCUUAAGGCCUAAGGAGCCCAUGGACUCCCCUUCACAAGACAUUAGAUGAAAACAAUGGUGUCUCCCUAUAGUAUUUGUCCAACCCUCUUUAGGGUUGUCCAAGAGCCCAAAACCAGAACUAUUAAUUAAUUGCUAAUAAGCCCCUGUACUUUUAAUUAAUUACUUUAAUCCCAAAGUUAAUUCUAAAUUAAUUUCUGAUUAAAUAUUAAUUAAACAACAUGAUGUCUAAUUAAUAUAUUAUUUUCAUAAUACAUUCAUAAAUCAUUUAUUCCACUUUAUUAGCUAAAUAAUAAAUUCAACCUCUCUCUCCAAAAGUCAUCAUGUCUAGUUGCUAGUAUGAAGGCAACCUAAAAGGAUUGUGCUACUAUCAAUUCAAGUAUAUACGAAUUAUAGGUAUGGGCUUAGACACCUAAUCCAACAUCAUUUAGGUAUGAUUUUUUGUAUGAUUAUUGAUAUUUAGUUUCAAAACGUAAUAAAUAUUAACCGGUGUUGUUUUUAUUCCAUCACAUAUCAAAAUUAGGAUAAAACGAUGUAAAUUUGGGAUGAAAAUGACCAUACUACCAAUAUAUCUUAGAUCUAUGGAGAUAAAAACAAAGGUUUAGACUUUAUACAUCCCAAGAGUCUAGAAGAUGGAUUAGACGGACAAGCUAUGUUAUAGUUGCUCUUCUCCUUUCACCAAAGCUCAACACCUUCUUCAAUAUUACACCAAAACACCAAGAAUAAUCUCUCAAAGAACCAAAAAGGAUUAAGGUUAGUAACGAUAAUUUCAGGGGAUGGAGGAUGCCUAAUGAGGCAACCAUAGAAGUUAGAGCCCUUAAAUAACGACCAAGGCCCGAGGUUUAGGGAUUUUAACCCCAACCACCACUGCGUUGUGGCGAGGACUUCACUGUGCUGCCAUUAAAUGAUUUGCGGCUUGGUCCAGGUCUUAUCGUGCCAUGGUAUCGGGAAAUAUCAAAGUUCUUAACUUCAAAAUAAAAUAUUUGCACAUAGAAUACAUAUAUUACAAUUCUACCAUACUUGAAUCAGAUUUCAUCCUCGAAAUCCACUUCGAAAAGUAGCUCUAGAUAGCUCUUGCGCAUAUCAUCCUCGGGUUCCCAAGUCCACUUGGAACACUUCUGGUGCUUCCACUACACCUUCAACAAAUCUACUUCCUUGUGUCGCAACGUCUUUGUCCUCUUAUCCAAGAUUGCAAUCGGUCGCUCGAUAUAAUGCAGAUGCUCGUCCACAUGAGUAUUAUCCAACAUAACAAUGGAGGUCUCAUCUGCAUUACACUUUCUUAGUUGAGAAACAUGAUAUAUAUAUAGUUCAGCUCAUUAGGUAGAUCCAAAUAGUAAGCAACCUUGCCUACCAUGCCAAUCAAUCUAAAUGGUCCAAUAUAUAUGGGGGCAUAGCUCGCACUGCUUCCAAAACUGGAUGACACCUUUCCAAGAUAACACCUUCAAAAGCGCAUAGUUAGCCACGUGGAACUCAAUAUCAAAACGACGUCGAUAUGUAUUACUCUUCUGUCAACUCUGAGUUGUUUAUAGUCUCAUAUGUACCUACCGAAUAAUCCUUGUGAUCUUGAGCCCCACCUAAGUGAUUCCCAUAACUCUCUGGCCGAUCUCACCCUGGCAAAUCGUGAUUCGACACUUCCUCCCAUGAAGCUGUUGGAUUAGGUGUCUAAUGUCAUAACUAAAUCGGUAUAACUUUAUUGAAUAAAUGCAAAGUCCUUUUUAGGUUUCCCUCAAUAACUAGAAUUAGCUAGAAGUAUCAUUAGGAAAGUGAGGAAAUAAUUUGUUAAUUUAUUAUAUGAUUAAUAAAUUAAUUAGAAAUGGUUAAUAAUUAAUUUAGAAUUAAUCAAAAUUAAUUAGAAAAUAAUUGUGGAUUAAUUAAAGGUGAACGGGUCGAAUUGCAAUUGUUUAAUUGUUAAGCAAGGAAGGCAUUCUAGAACCCUCCAUAGCAUGGACGGUUUUGAUAGGGGUCCAUAAGGGUUUUGGAAGCCUCCUAUAGCUAAUAAGAAUAACUGCAUCGAAUAGAUUAAAUCCUAUUAUUUAAUUAUUCAAAUUAGGGUUUAUCCUACAGAUCCACCAACUAUAAAUACAGACUAUAACCCUAGCAAAAAUUCAAUCCUACAUAUACACAAAAAAGAAAUCAGGUUUCCUCCUAUCUCGUCUCUCCUAAUUCUUUCCAAGGGGUUCUAGGGUAUUAGGUGUAAGCCACUAAAGGCAUCCACACUAUUAGUGCUUGUUUUCUAAUAAAGAAUUUGAAGAGUCAAGGUUGUUAUAUCCGUUUAUAGCUAAAGGUAUGUAUUCUAUUCUUUGUGAUUUUUGAGAAUACAUAGGUUAGAUUAGUUUUUCAUAGUAUGUUUCUAUAAUGAGAAAAUAUCACAUAUCUCUUGGUUGCAUGUGCCCAUGAAAAAGUUUUAUGAUUCCGUCGUGUAAAUCUUUUGUUUUGUAUCCUAAAAAAUCCAUCAGUGGAAUCAUAGUUUAUGUUUUUCUAUUAUAUGUGCAUUGAUGAAAAGCAUAAGAAACAAAAAAUACAUGCUAAAUGUAAAAGCAGCGUGCCUCUCUACUUGCACGACGUGCCCUGUUGGCAUACUGGGUUUUAGGAUUUUCUUGCCUUUUUCAAAUUGUUGGAUAAUUACUAGAUAUAACUGUUUAUAUUCAUUUAUUAAAAUCUGAACAUUUAAACUAGGUAAUUAGAUAAACCCUAAUUCGAAAAUUAAGGAUGAAAAUAAAUAAUUAAUAUUGUUUAAUUAAAAGUCUAAUUAAGAUAAUCACUUAAUUCUUAAAUGAUUUAAUAUAAUUAAUGAAAUAUUUAAUUAAAAGAUAAUUAUUAAAUCUUAAAUGGUUUAAAUAUUUAAUUUAAAGUUAAUUAAGUUAAUAAGAUUUAAAUUUUGUAUUCUUAAAAAGUUUAAAAUACACCCUUACAUAUAUUUAUAAGAGUAUAUAAUACCAUAUGUAAAAGAAUAAUAAUUCAUCAGUAAAACCAAGACCAAGCCUCAUUCAUGAAACCAUGUUAUAAGAGAGGUAUAAGGAAAUGACCUAUAAAAUGAACUUUGAAUGAAUGUCAUUUUCAUUCAUCGCUUCUUUGUGUGGUGGAUUGUCGUUACCCGAAAGGGUUGUGAUAGGACGUAAGUCUCUGUAAAACUAUAAUAUAAAGUACUAGAACAUAUAUAAAAAAAAUCCCAAUCUAAUUACUUAGGAAAAAUGUGAACUUGUAUGCAAAUCUAUGAAAAUGCAGAUCGUGUCUUUAUAAGUCGUUAAUGGAGCAUGCAUGGUUAACCAACAUAGUAAUUUGGGACUCUAAAGUGGAAAUGAUAAGACAACUUGAGUUUAUGAUUAACGGAAGUUGAUUAACGGUAACGGAAAAAGUUUCGAGUUGUCACAUCAUCCCCCCGAUAGAGGGAAUUUCAUCCCGAAAUUCAAACAUAGAAUACAAAUCAUGGACUCGGAAAGAGAUGCGGAUAUUUCUGUUUCAUUUGAUCUUCACACUCCCACAUGAAUUCAGGUCCCCGCUUGGCAUUCCAGCGAACCUUCAUUAUUGGUAUGCGACUUGGUUUUAUUCGAUUGAUCUCUCGAUUCAAGAUUUCGACUGGUUCUUCCAUGAAGUUAAGGUUCUCGUUGAUCUCUGUGAGAACAAGAUCUAUGCGCAGGGACAAGGUUUGAGAACUCAAACCUUGAGUGAAAGCUUAAGAUCAAUCUCUGCUUGCUAAUAAUAGUUCAAGUCUAGACUGGAAAGACUAGUCAAGUCUUAGAUAGAAUAUUCAGCAAAUGAUCAAGACAAUAAAUGAUCAAAGUAAAGAUAAUAAAUGAGAAACAACAUGAAUGUUUUAAUGAACUUAAUAAAGAUGAAAAAAGUGAAUAAAAUAUCUGUGAUUGACUUGUAUUAAAUGCUCCUUUAUAAAGGAGAAAAGGUUACAGCGAAUUAACUACAAUGUUUACAUAGGACCGGACAAAAGAAAUAUUUUUGACAUUCUGAUUGUCCAAAUAAGAUAAUAGACUAAGUCCUACGAGACGUUACAUCAAAACAAGUACAAAUACAAUAAAUACUUUAAGACAAAAUAAGGUUCUUCCGGAUCAGCAUUCAUUCCGGACAUGAGAGUUACUCCGGAAUGUCUUCAGUCUUCUUUUCACCUCCUUUUCUAGUCCAGACAAUAUUCCGGACUACUCCUUCAUUAUUGAAUCCGGAACACCUACUCCGGAACGUCUGAGCUUCGAAAUGUGGACUUAGGAUUGAUAGUGGUUCACUUUCAGGUUCCAACAAUCUCCUCCUAAGUGAAAUUAGCAAUCCAGCAAGCUUAGUUCAUUUCUUCCUCAAUGAAGGUGUAUGCUCGGAAAAACUACUCUCGGACCUCUAUGUACCACGCCAACUGACUUACGAACCUUGCCUUGACAUGCUCCGGAGCAUCAGACUUGGAUGCCUGGGAUAUGAACUUGUUUAGGGCCUUGGUCGGAACUAAAUGUUUUUCAGUGACUUGGAAGCAGUCCUUCUUGCUUGUUUUCCUUGUGGUAUAGAAAAACCCUAAAAUCAGUUCUUCAAUUGGACCAUUAGAAAGAACUUCGACUUCCGAAAGAACGAAGACAAUUUUGGCAACAAAUUGUUCUGUCCCAUAGAGAUGUGCACGCUCAUAAUCACGUCUGCAGAAUUCUGCAACGUAAUCCUUUGGAAAGCUUAGAGUGGCGUGGUAUGCUCCCGUACUUAUAUCAUCCUUCUCAUUUUCUCUAAAGUAGGUAGCUAAACAGAGGAUGUCAUUUGCGUUCAUGGAUGGGAAGUCCGCAUCAGUAACGAUCCGGGCAGUAGGCUUGUUCCAGAGGAUGUGGAAACGGAAGAGGGGGCAGUUAAGCUCAAACUUUACAAGUAUUUUUCUUCUGAAGCCUUCCACUUUGGUGAUUCUUUUCCUUGACCAGACUUCGUUGAGAGGUUGAGCAUGUGUGGAAUAAAAGGUUUUGAGUCUCUCUCUUUCAGUCCGGAUAGUCACUAGCGGAUCAUCUGAUGGGUGAAGCAGAGCAAACUUAAUGUAAAAUUUGUUGAAGGGGGAGAGAGGAAGAUCCAUCUUAUUGGAAUCAUAAGAAGAGAUGCCGCAGUACAUGCAAGGAAUUAUUUCCUCAGCCUUGAGAAUUCCUUCACGGCAAAGAGUAGAGAUGCCUCGCAUUGGCUCUGGAUUGUCUUUCAGGGCUUGGAUCUGAAUGUUGUCCUCUAGUGCCUUAUUGGUUUCUUCAUGCGACCAUCCAAAUUAUGAUUGAGGGGAGGUCCGGAAUGAAAGGAUUGUUUUUCAGCAGUCAUAGGCUUCUUUCCUUUGUCUCUUUGAAGUGCAUUGACAACCAUCUUAUUGUUUUUGUCAAUCAUGAAUUCCAGACUGGUAUUCGGAAAUGGUUCUUCCGGAAUAUCAUUUGGGAUCCGGAGAGGAGAGCCCUGAUCGAUCAGAGCGAUUUUUGGUUCCGGAGUGAGGGGAUGUACUGAGGGAGUGGCUCGGAAGGCCUUUGCAGUGAGGAGGGAUUUUGCUUUGGCCAAUUGAACUGCUUUUUGAAAAGCAUCUAGAAAAGUAGUUGGCCAGGAGGUUGCGGACCAAAUUCUCUUCUCUCCCUCAGAUAGAACUUUAGGAAAGAGUUUCUUAGGAGCUUCAAGGCAUAGAACUCCAUCUGUGAUGUACUUAUCUUCGUCACUGUCUUCUUCUUCAGCAGAAGAGUUUCCUAGAAGUCCGGACACGAUUUGGACUUCAUCAUCGGAAUCCAAGUCAUCAUCUCGGAGUUUGAGCUCUAAGGCAGGUUUCCAGGGUUUACUUGGUCCUUCUCCCACUCUUGCAUCAUGUGACCUUGGAACCGGUGCAAGUAUGAUGGAAUCCUUGAGCUCUUCAAAUUUUGAGAAGACUUUUUGAAGGCCAGUGUUGAGCUGAAGAGUGAGGGUGUCAUAUGCUUCAGAUGUUGGGGCUUGAGCAGCACGGUGUUUGAACAUGUCACCGAGGAUGGAUAUCAUCUCAUCAAACUUCUGGUUCGGAACAUGAACGAUGUUCCAAGAUGAGCGAAGAAGUUUGAUAAGGACUUGUUGACUUAUCAUGUUCAUCUCAUCCUUCUGUUUGAUCUCCUUCUCCAACCUUUGAAUUUGUUUCUCAUGACAAAUGUGGGUCUGCUUGAUUAGGUCGUUGGUAGUAGCCACCAAGUCGUCAUGGACCUUCAGCAUGGAAGUGAUUGUGUUGAGAUAGUUAUCGACCAGAAUGUCGUAUUUUGAGUCCACUUCUUCCAUUGUUUGUUUGAGCCGGAGAGAGAUCAGCUGAUCCAGUUGAGCUUCUCUCUCAGCAACAAAUGGUCCGAAAUGUUGAGAAAGAGAUUGAAGAAUGACAUCAAGCUUGGAAUCAAGUCCAGAGACUUUUUGAUCCAUCUUCGUAUUUAGCUUAGUGACAGAAGUUUCAAUGGAGGCCACUUUUUGAAUGGUGUCAGAGACAUUAGUUUGGAUCUCGAGGAGUGCGAAGGGGUCUAUGUAGUCACCAAUGGAGGAUUCGGAAUCAGAAUCCAAGUUGUUUGGAGGAGCUUGUGAGGAAACGUUUGCUGAAGGACCUGACUUUGUUGUUGCAUCAUCUUCAUGAUGUUUGGCAUUUGAACCUCCGUCCGGAGUGGUAGAAGAAGAGGAUCCGAAGUAACAUCAAAGCUUUCAUCCAAAACAUGAUUUCUCCGGUUAAGAAAUCUGUAAGCUUUCGAUUUUGAGGAGUACCCAAGGAAUAUGGCUUCAUCAGCUUUAGGUUGAAACUUGGUAAGCUGAUUUCAGUUGUUCUUGAUGAAGCACCUACAUCCGCAGACAUGUAGAAAUGAGAUUGUUGGCUUCCGACCAUUCAUUUCUUCGCACGGUGUCAUGUUGAGGCGUCGAUUGAUGAUACUCUGAUUUUGAGUGAAGGAAGCAGUAGGUACUGCUUCAGUCCAAAGGUAUAGUGGCAGAUUUGCAAAAUUCAACAUGGAUCGAGUAGCUUCAACAAGAGUUCUAUUUCGUCGUUCAACUACACCAUUUUGUUGUGGGGUAUAGGGAGCCAAGAAGUUGUAGUCAAUUCCUUUUUUAGUGAGGAACUUUUCAAUGGUGGAAUUAGUGAAUUCUGAGCCAUUGUCACUUCCAUUUCUCAUAACUGGGAGUUUGAUGACAACUUCCAUUCCCUUGAUAAAACUGAUGAGCUCUGAGGCUAUUUUGGAUUUCAACCGAAGGAAGAAGAGCCAAGUGAAUCAUGUAAAAUGUGACAUCCCCAAAAUCACGGCCAAAAAAGACCGGUUUGUUUAUGCUUUGUUUAAAAAUUAGAGUAACAUUUUAAAUAAAAGUGUUGCGGAAUUUUUCCCAAAACAAAAUAUGAUAAAGAUUUAUCAAAAGCAUUUCCAUAGAAAUGUAUUUCAUUAAAAGACUUGGGAUGUCAUCUUCAUACAGAUCAAAAGCAUAAACAGUACAAUAUAAGCCUUAUUACAUUAUUUCAUAAUGCCUAUAUCCGUAAUCCCUCGUCCAAACAUCAUAUAUAUGCUCAAGCGCCACUACCUAUAAUACAAGAAACUGAGUGGGUCAGGCUUGGGAGCCUGGUGAGCACAUAGGGUUUUCAACCCACAAUAAAUAAGUUAUUAGCUUUAUCAAACCAAACAAACCCAAUUACCUGUUCCCGUUAUCCACACUUUACGUCCCUAAAACAUCUAACACAAGGGACCUAGUCUAAGGACUAUCAUCGGGAUGGACACUACUGCUAAGGGGAUUCCUGAGCAAUAAUUGUCCUUAAGGCAACCAUGUGGGGGAUGGAGUACAUCUGGUGAGCACACAGCUCAAAUAAACACACAGUUCGAAUAAACACCUACAGGUUGCGAGCCUGCUAGUGUUCCACUGGACUGUCUAGAAUAGUCUGUGGUCGUCAUCUAUACUCCGCUAGAUGACUGGGUCAUCAAUAACAUCUAUAACGAGGCCUCUCAUUAUUUUAUUUUGUCACACAACAACUAUUACAUCUACCCAUGUUAUACCCAACACAUUUUGUAGAUAUAAAAUACAUAUACAGUUAAAAUCAUUGAAAACAUGUAUAAAACGUUCAUCCAGCAUAGAUAGCAAGCAUUUCAGAUAAUAAGCACACAUAGCAUGUAAUUUAUAUAAAAUACUUCAUAUUUAUGUGUAAGCUGAAAGUAACUAUGCACUCACCUGAAAGGUGGUGACUCAACAUUCGGACAGCGCUUCGAUACUCUCAAAACGAUAUUCCUUCGAUAAAACCUAGUAUCGAUACCACUAGGGUUUAGUCUAACGAUAACCGCGACAAAUUAAUUGUCUGACUAUUAUUAUUAUUAUAUAACCGUUAAUAACACUCGAUAUAACUCAUAAUAAUAGCCCAAAUAAUUAUUUUAAGGACCUAAUAACAUUCCUAUAAUUAUUUGAAAGCUAUAUUAAAAAUUGCGUAAGCGUAGCACACUUACAGCGAAUUUUAUCGAAAACCGGAACUUAAUUGGAGCAGCGUUUCAAAACCGAAAGGCUCUUUUUCUCGGGACUCCGGGAGCCUCGGGGCUUUCCUCGGAAGCUAAGGGGUUUAACUAGGGCUUAGGGGACUCAAAAGGGGUUAGAGAGAGAAAGUAGUUUAGAGAGAGAAGUGAAAAAGUGUGAAAAAUCCGGAAGAAUUCGUAUGGUAUUUAUUGGGACCGAAGUUUGGAUUUACGUUGGGUGUACCGAGGGUACGCUCGGCGUACUCCUCGGAUAAGACCACGAGCUUGGACCCAGCUGUCUUGCACUCAAUCGGUUGGAUCAGAUCGGACCUACGCGGGGCAUAACCUCUUCGGGUGCGGGGCGUACUGCGAAGCGACGUGUCGUAAAUCUGAAGCGAAGCGUGAGCAGCAAGCGACGACCCUGAUUGAGCCACGUCAUCACCCUCGCAACAGAUUUCGCAAACUCACUUUCCGACCUCUAAAAAAUAUAACUUUCGCAUACGAGCUCCGUUUUCGACGUUCUUUAUAUCCACGCGAAGUUGGGAACGUACUCUACAACUUUCAUUUAAACACCAUUGGCUAAUUUUGAUUCGAUUUUAAAUUUUAUAUUAUUAACAGACCGGGACAGGAUUGGUCCGUUAAAUCCUCAUAACUUGUUCAUUUGACGUCCGUUUUCGCCCAUCUUUUUCUUGUUAUGCUACUCUUAACGAGAUCUUCGAUUCUCGUUUAGGUCGUGUUGGCUAAAAACCGCUCGAUCUAAUAUUCGAAUUUCGGGCUGUACACUACUAACACGAAACUUCGAAAAAUCAUAAAUUCUUCAUACGAAGUCAGAUUUGGGCGUUCUUUUUAUCGAUGUUCUCAGUUUAACAUAUUCUACGACUUUCGUUUAGAUCGCUAAGGCUAAAUCUCGCUCUAUCGUAAAUUCACUAUUUACGCUUUCCAGUAUCGUGCUGGUUCUGUCGCGAAACUUCGACGGGUCAUAACUUCUUCGUUAUAACUCGGAUUUUGGCGUUCCUUAUAUCCCCGAAAUCCUUGUUUGGACCACUACAACUUUAUGUAAAAAUAUCGAACUUAUCUCACACUUUAAUUUUGACGCUUAUUUUUAUUCUUUAUUACUUAUACAUUUAUAAUUAAUAAUAAGCACAUAAACACACAUAAUUCACAUAAUACUCAAAUAUUUCAUCUUUAUUACUUCAAAAAGAGUUAAAAGAGUUGACCUAGACUAUUACAUUGACAAAAAUGCUUAGCACUGAAACCCGGGCGUUACAUAAAAUCAUUAACAACCACAAGAAUUUAUUUAUUUUGAUGAAGACUUUCUACAAUGGACGGUCCACAAAGAUCAAUGUGUAGAAGCUCCAAUGGUUCCAAAAUGGAUUUUUCAAUGAUAACAGGAUGAACCUUCUUUGAUUGUUUACCGCACUCACAAGCAUCACACAAAUGGUCAUUUUCGAAUUUGAGUAAAGGUAAACCUCUAACCAUUUUGCCAGAUACAAGAUCAUUCAUGUACCGAAAAUUUAGAUGAGCGAGCCUUCGGUGCCAUAACUGUUGGGUUUUGAGCAUUCUAACACUCCUAAGUGUACAUACAAUCCUAAAUACCUUGGAUCUAUGUUUUCUCUAUUAUACAUGCAAAUACGAACUUUCCAAGGUAUUCAUCCUAAUUAGCAUAAUAACAUUGAUUCAUAUGAAUAUAUCAAGUUAGAAUUACAUACCUCUUUGAUGUAGAAUGUCUUCAUGAAGCUUGAGUGCCUAGUGCCCCAUGUAUGACACCUCAAAUGGUUCACACAACAUCAUAUGCACUUGGAAAGACUUGAGAGAAUAUAGACACUUCAUGAAAAUCGGCUAGCCCUUUCUCUCACACAUAGUGGCCAAUUUUUCCCAAGAAUAUGAUCUUUAUAUAGUGUCACAAUUAGGGUAAACCCUAAUUGUCAUGGAUUUCCAUUUCCUAGGAUCCAUGGGUUCAAAUACACCAUGGAUCAUCCAUGGAACAUCCUAUGGGUUUUAGCCCAACUUGAUAAUCCAUGGAGCAUUAGCCCACUAUACAAGUAUGGAUGAUUUACACAAUCAACCCAUAUAUUUAAUUAGUCUUCUUUUGAUCACUUAAUUAAUUCUAGAUUAAUUCUUGAUCAAUACUAAUUAAAUAAUCUCAUUAGUAUAUUAGAACUCAUAAUAUAUUAAUCAACCUCAAGUGUUAUUUCUCUCAUUAUAGUCUAUCCAAAUGCAUGAUGUCGUUCAACCUAAAUGGACCAUGCUGGGUCGGGUCAAGUCUUACCAAUUAUAGUUAUGGACUUAGGCAUUAAUCCAACAGUCUUCCACUUAGAUAAGUCUAAAAAUAUUAUUGCAAGUAUGACUUCAAGAACCGACUGGCAAUCGUAGCUCUCAAAAGCUUCUGUCGAACUCUGACCAUGCCGAUGAUCUCUGACCAUUGUCAAUGACUUGUCCAUUAGAUAAGGGAUCAUAUAUUCCUCCAUUCUAGAUAUCAUAUGGACUGAGACAUGGAUUAUAAUCAUUCUCUCUGUCCAUUUGUUGUUUCCCGAUUUCCGAUUUAUGACGACUGACUAAUUGAACAAAUCAAAUCAGUCCUGGCCCGGCCGAGCACUUCCAUUUGUCAUCAUCAAAUCAUCGAGGGGCCCACAGAUAUCGCUUUUAUCCCGAAGGUAAAAGGAAUGGAUAAACUUCGACUCAUAUGGCUUGUUCUACUACUUGUUGAAUCAUACACAAAGGCACGUUUUAUAACAUCGAGUUACCAAUGCAUUUUCGUGCAAUCAAUGUAUAACCAACUCAUAGUAACAACUCACAUCUCUAGGUUUGAAGAGUAUAAGAUAUUAUCGUCUCAUGAUCACUCAUGAUAAUAUCCAUGAAGUGAUUCAAAUGAGUGUGGGUUGAAUCCAAUACUCAGAACUUAUGAGCACUCAUGAAUGUUGUAGCACCUCUUGGAUAUGUCCCAUACCUUGGACAUUUACAAACUCAAUUGAUGACAGUCUUUCCUUAAUACCUACUUCCAACGUAUUAUCGACUGUGGAUGGUUUGAAUAACUUAGUCAUUCAGAACAAUGACCUAAUUAUUCUGGAAUUCAAAACAUGCAAAGUGAAACACAAUAAUAAUCGAAUCCAAUGUGGUCUUAGAACUUAUGAAUAUAAAUAAAACACCUUUUAUUUAUCACCAUAUGAUUACACAUUAUUCAUUGUAUACUGUUUCAGAUUAUCAACUUUAUACUUGAAUUAAAACAGUUUGUCCCAUGCUCUAAGCAUGUACACUAUGUUUUCUAAACACUAGUCAUGCCACACACCAAGUAUGCAUAGUAUGUUUGUCUAUGAUCUUUACUUUGUGAAAUAGAUCAACAGAACAUAACUCCAAUGAUUCUCAUUUCACAGUCCCAAUUCCUUACUACAAGUGCAAGAAUUCCAAAUUCAUGCCAUUUACUGAAAUCUGUUAGAUUGUAAACUUAUAUGCAUCAAUCCUCUUGUAAUGAUUAUGCACAAAGUCACAAAGACUUGACAACAAACAUUAUAGAGCAUUCCAAAGGAGAUCAACUCCUUGCAAACAUCCUUCUUGCAUUAAGUUUCCUAAUCUUACACAUAUUUAUUGAAGAACUUCCACCUAUGGGAUCAUUUCUGAACAAGAAUUGCCCUUUUUUUCAGAAUAUGUCAAUAUGGUCCUUCCAACAAUUGCUUAAUCCUUAUAGUCAUAUCCAAUUCUAGGCCUUUUCCCUUCUUAAUGCUCUGAGAAUUUUGAAAAAGUUUAGAAAGGAUGAAUAUUAUAGCACAUGUAGUCGAUCCUAUAUCUGAAGCAUAUGGGACACGAUUCAUGAUGCUUCACAUAAAGACAUGAUAAUAGACCAGUCUUUUGCUAUAAUAUUUCUAUUUCUAUUUGUCAAGUUCUCAUAAUUCAGAUUAUGAAAAGGGAUGUCGUAAUCAUAAUCGAAUUUCAGAACGCAAAUAAUGGACCCAUAUAUAGAACUUCUUUAUGUUGAGCCAAUCCAACAUUAAAUUCAUAUAUAUAUAUAUAUAUNNNNNNNNNNNNNNNNNNNNNNNNNNNNNNNNNNNNNNNNNNNNNNNNNNNNNNNNNNNNNNNNNNNNNNNNNNNNNNNNNNNNNNNNNNNNNNNNNNNNNNNNNNNNNNNNNNNNNNNNNNNNNNNNNNNNNNNNNNNNNNNNNNNNNNNNNNNNNNNNNNNNNNNNNNNNNNNNNNNNNNNNNNNNNNNNNNNNNNNNNNNNNNNNNNNNNNNNNNNNNNNNNNNNNNNNNNNNNNNNNNNNNNNNNNNNNNNNNNNNNNNNNNNNNNNNNNNNNNNNNNNNNNNNNNNNNNNNNNNNNNNNNNNNNNNNNNNNNNNNNNNNNNNNNNNNNNNNNNNNNNNNNNNNNNNNNNNNNNNNNNNNNNNNNNNNNNNNNNNNNNNNNNNNNNNNNNNNNNNNNNNNNNNNNNNNNNNNNNNNNNNNNNNNNNNNNNNNNNNNNNNNNNNNNNNNNNNNNNNNNNNNNNNNNNNNNNNNNNNNNNNNNNNNNNNNNNNNNNNNNNNNNNNNNNNNNNNNNNNNNNNNNNNNNNNNNNNNNNNNNNNNNNNNNNNNNNNNNNNNNNNNNNNNNNNNNNNNNNNNNNNNNNNNNNNNNNNNNNNNNNNNNNNNNNNNNNNNNNNNNNNNNNNNNNNNNNNNNNNNNNNNNNNNNNNNNNNNNNNNNNNNNNNNNNNNNNNNNNNNNNNNNNNNNNNNNNNNNNNNNNNNNNNNNNNNNNNNNNNNNNNNNNNNNNNNNNNNNNNNNNNNNNNNNNNNNNNNNNNNNNNNNNNNNNNNNNNNNNNNNNNNNNNNNNNNNNNNNNNNNNNNNNNNNNNNNNNNNNNNNNNNNNNNNNNNNNNNNNNNNNNNNNNNNNNNNNNNNNNNNNNNNNNNNNNNNNNNNNNNNNNNNNNNNNNNNNNNNNNNNNNNNNNNNNNNNNNNNNNNNNNNNNNNNNNNNNNNNNNNNNNNNNNNNNNNNNNNNNNNNNNNNNNNNNNNNNNNNNNNNNNNNNNNNNNNNNNNNNNNNNNNNNNNNNNNNNNNNNNNNNNNNNNNNNNNNNNNNNNNNNNNNNNNNNNNNNNNNNNNNNNNNNNNNNNNNNNNNNNNNNNNNNNNNNNNNNNNNNNNNNNNNNNNNNNNNNNNNNNNNNNNNNNNNNNNNNNNNNNNNNNNNNNNNNNNNNNNNNNNNNNNNNNNNNNNNNNNNNNNNNNNNNNNNNNNNAUAUACAGAAUUUCCUUAUGUUGAGCCAUUCCAACAUGAAAUUCAUAUAUAUCCUUGACUAAAUGAUUAAAACCUCACGAUCUAAGCUUAUAGAUUUGAGAUGAAGUAUAAUUUCCUCUCCCUUAAUUAUAGCAAAACAACUUUUUCCCAAUUGAAACUUUUGUUUUCUAUAAUUAACAUUGCUAACUUGCAAUACUUACCAUAAUUAUCAUGCUCCCACUAGCAUGAUGAUUAUUAACAUAAUACUUAUGCUUCCACUAGCUUUGACAUGUAUCCAGAAAACUUCUGGACAUGUAGAAGUCAAUACUUUAUUGACAUUCUUACCAAAGUUCAGAUUUCUGAUACUAGAUUGCUUUGAUAAGACUUUAUAAAAAUCAUACACCUUAUCUUAGAUAGCUCAAAAUUGUGUCUAAACAAUUUCAGAACUAUGAAAAGGGAUGUCGUAAUCAUAGUCUCAAUUGUUUAGACCUGUGCUAUUUGCUUCAAAUCUUCUUGGUGGAAGUGUUUCCUCACCAUCAUUUUCAUGAAUCGGAGAGAAACCUUAUGACACUUAUAUUUAUUGGUGUAUGUGUUCUUAUCCAUGUGAAUUGUCAAAACCAUAGUCCCAAGACAAGGAUAAUGACAAAUCCAAACUCAUAUGGACUGAACUCAAUCUUAAUUUCUUGCCAUCUGGCAGCUCAAGGGCCUGCCAUUGCUUCCAAGUUGUUGUGCAACCAAUUGAGAACUCUAAGAACUCAUAUGCAAAGCCAACUUUAACUGGAAUGGGCACAGAAUAUGUCAACACGAUAGGUUAUAAACCUAAAGUCGUGUGCUAGUGAAGAAUUUCAAGUUUUAUUCUUGAUUAGUUCUUGAGACUUUCAAGACCUUUAAAACUCCCACUGUCCUCCUGACAUAUAAGACUCUCUUGUCAAAUAUUCAAGAGAUAGUGUGGAUUCUUUAUCAAGAUAAACACUUCACACAAUUGGCCUUAGUGGGUCUUUGUUUUAUCCAAAACAUCACAACUUACCAGUUUCAAAUGUACAAGAGUAGAACACAUUUUACUCUUAUAUUUGACAAGUGUUAAAAAAAACCUUCUUUAAGGUAUGUCACUCAAGUUACACUCUUAGAGUAUAACUCUAAGAAUUGUUUUUGGAACGAAGUAUGAAUCAUCUUCUUGAUUUAACCACUUCAACAAUUCAUAAAUCCUCUUCUUAACUAUCAGAAUGCACUUAGAGGAUGAAUUGUGAUAAGGUCUCAAAAUCAUUAAGAUGGUCUUAAAACAUGAUACUAAAGUACUCUCCCAUCUUUUUCGGAUUUGAGAAACUUUUAUCUUUCUACCUAAGUUUAUUCUUCUUAUUCACUCUGCCAUACAUUGGAACCUUUUCCAAUGUCUCAGAAUUACACUUAACCUUUUCCAAUGUCUUAUCGAUCUUUUGUGGUGGACUUAACCAGUGCACAAGAAUGUGUACUCAAUCCCUUAGUCCUUUACUUGAAUCACACAUCCAUGUGAACAAGUAGUUAGUCUUAAUUUUUCCAAUGCUUGAAUGUUCUCAUCCAUCAUGCUAUACAACUUGGAUGAUUCCAAGUUUCGGUCCAAUUGAAACCUUGGGUGACGAGAAUAUUUCCUUAUUUGGUAAAUUUAGACAUUACCACAAAUGAGAGAGAGCUUUACUGGAUAUCCAAUGUCAUCAUUGUCAAUGUCCAUAAAGUUUUAGGAAGUUGAUCUUAGCAAAUAGAUAAGAUCAUUAAGGGUCUUCUCAUAUUCUGUUUCAUAGGAGUCCCAAAGGAACUCACUAUGUGACUUAGAAAGUGAUUGAACCACCAACUUUCUCAAGACUUUGACACCUAACUCUCUCGGCUUGUCAAUAUGUGACUACAUAUCCAAGAUGUUAUCACACAUAGACCUUUGCUUGCCAAUAGGGCUUGAGUGACCUUAAACUUUUCAAGAACUUGUGGAUUAGGGUGAAUAAUUGGAGGAGGUGAAAGAAGUAUGAUUUCCAUGGGACAUCAUCGUCAUUUAGGAAAGCUUGUAUCAAGAGAUUUUGGAAGAUCAUAAAUGUCUAAACCAGACAUCUUUCGGGAGAUAUUCAAAUAGUUGAUUUAAAGUCCCUUAUAUAACACCCAAUAUGAAAUAUUAAGGCUAGGACCUAACACAAUACUUUUAUAACUUGGAAGAGGGAUGUCGUAAUCCAAGCUAUAAAAUAUUUGAAGGUAGGUGAAUGACGAUUCACCAAUUUUCACCAAGAUAAA
rnacentral:lncRNA from 1 species